AGUGGGGAACUCUAAUCUUUUAUUCCACUUCCUUGAAACUUGCCCUGAAUAAGUUGAGGAUGUCACGGUUCGUAACGAGACUGCAUUACAUCUUGCUCUGAAAAACGACCACACAGACGCUUUUAAUCUCUUACAUGGAUGGCUUCGAAAGAACCGUCGAGGAGGAGGCAAUGGUUUGGAAAGAAAGGUUGUGAAUUGGAGAGAUGAUGAUGACAACACUGUGUUGCACAUUGCAGCUACAAAUCAACAACAUCAGGUAUAUAUAUGCAAUAUAAUGAUAAGUUGCGUUCCUUUGAUCAUUUUAUUAAUGACUAUUUAUAAUAUUCUACGCAGGCAGUACAACUGUUGUUGGAUUCCUUUUAUGGGUUAGAUGCAAACGCUAAGAAUUCGGAAGGCUUGACAGCUCGAGAAAUCAUAGAAAGGGUUGAAAGACAAGGGUUGAACAUGAGUGGCGCCGAAGACGAUGAUAUCUCCACCGCCAAGAUUGAGCGCAUUAAGAAAAGAACUAGUAGGUCUGAAAGAGCAUUAGUAAAGUUGAUUCGUGCAAGGAAUGGGUUGUCAGAGAACAUGCUCAACGCAACACUGGUGGUAGCGGCGCUGGUCAUUACAGCAAUCUACCAGUCAUCUUUAAGCCCACCAAGAGGUCUUUGGCAAGGUGAUAACACUAGUAUCCCCACCACCAACUCAAACCUUACUACUACUACUAAAUUUAAACUCUUUAACGACAAUUACAGUGAGUAUCGUUUUAAAUUUCUGUUGGGUGAAGAAACAAGGAAAACUGGUACUGCAGUCAUGAAUCCCAACUUGUUUUUAGGGUUUUGGUUUUUCAAUUUUAUAGCAUUUGGGCUUCCAGUUCUUCUAACCGUUUUGCUUUUAUCCAAUGUACCUAGUAUUCUUCUCAUCCCGCUUUAUUAUCUAUCUGUCUCCUACUUCAACUGCAUGACAAUAGUAUCUCCUUCCACGUUUUGGGCAAACCUCAACUUUGUUGUCAUGCGGACAGCCAUUCUUCUCCCGUUGCUCUUAGUUGUUAGAAGCGUAUGGUUAUCGAAGCAACCAAAGUACAGGGAAAUCAGACAAUUACGUAGACUUUUCCGCAAGUAGAAUAAUGUUGGAAUCAUUCAACGGUUGCGAAUGUCAAUGUAGUUUAUAUGUUCUCUUAUGUUAUGUACUUUUUUCCAUUUUCUCUGGAUUAUCGAUAAAAAAUUUAUGUAAUUGCUUUGGAUAAAUUUAAUAAAUAAGAUUACUGUCGAAACCGCUUUUUUGAAAAAAAAAAAUUUGGUUGUCGACUUUAAAAAUAAAACUGGAGUCGUCACCGAUCCUUUAUUAAGGUGCGAUCGGCCCACCUUAAAAAUUAUUUUGGCCUACGAAUUUUGAGAAAACGAGUUCGGGAGUCAGUUACGCACGAGGAAGUGUUAGCACCCUCGUAACGCCCAAAAUCGGUACCAAAUUGAUUAUUUGAUGUCUUAGUGUCGAAGGUUAAAAAGAUUUUUAAAACAACUCAAAUGAUGAAAUCUGAAAAGGAUACUCAAUUGUUCAAGUCAUGUAAAGAAAUCGAGUCCCAAUACGUUAGGGUACAAUUUCUCAAAAUUCUCGAACUUUGAAUAUCACUUUUAUUUUAUGCGAAAAUUUUCAUUUUGGGAAAGUAACAUGCCACACCCAAUACGUUAGGACACGACAAGUUAAGUUCCCAAAAAUGAUUUUUAUUCUCAUGCAUUUUGAAUAAAGAAUAUUCCCAGCUUUUUAAGAUUGACAAAGAAAAUCAGAACCCAAUGCGUUAGGGCUCAAUUUUCCUCGGAAAUCCCAAACUUCGAAUAAUGCUUUUAUUAAAAAAACCUUUGAAUCAUGAAAAUAACUUUGAUAUACGGUUAAAACCAAAAUAUAUUUUCAAAAGGGUACAUUGAAAAGUUAAUGUACAAUAUGAUACAAAACUUCAAUUUAAAAUACAUGUAUAUAUGUGUCUUUUCAAAAUAUAAGUAUGAGACAUAAAUAAAUUUUGAAAACGUGUAUGAGCAUAUAUUAAAACGGGUAUAUAUAAGUAUACGUAUAUAUAAAAAAAAUGAAAUAUAUAAAACAAAACAAAAACCUAUUAUAAUUUUCUAAGAAAAUAUGCAUGUAUGUAUAUGUAUGCGAAAUUUAUGAAAAUAAGAUAAAAGUAUAAAAAUAUGUACAUGUGUAUAUAUUUACAAAAAAGUAUACAUAUAAAAUAUAAAGUAUAUAUAAAAAGUAAAUAACAAAAAUAAAAAAAACAUAGGUAUAAAAUAUAUGCAUUUAUUUAUAAAACUUUAAUAUAUAUAUAUAUACCUAUAUAAAAAAAACCCAUAUGUAUAUUAUAUAUAAAAAAACUAUGCGUAUAUAUAUAUGUAUAGAAAAUAUGAUAAUAAUCAAUAAUAAUAACUAAUAUAAUAAAAAUAAUUAAUUUUAAUGAUAAAAUAAUUAAUAACAAGGGACCCAAAUUGAAACUACAGGAAACUUUCAGGUAAACAUUUAAAAUAAUAAAAGCUGAAGACUAAUUUGUAGUGCCCUGGAAACAUCAGGGAGUAAACGAGCAAAUAUACCAGCCCCUUAUACGCAGCGUUUUCAUGUUGGACCAAAUUGAAACAGGAAACAGACGUGCGGUCAAAAUUAAAAAUAAAAAAAAUUGUAUUGAAGGUGACUCAAAAACAGAGGGACCAGUUGCGCAAAUUCUCCAUUCAGGGCCAGAACGCGCGGACCCUGCUUGCGGGUCGGGUCGACGCGCGGAUCUGGCCCCUUGCAAAACGGCGCCGUUUCACUCUUAUUAUUUAAAACAAUUUUCUUCUUCUUUUUUUCUAAAAUCUGUAGCCAACAAACAAAAAAACUUUUAACCCUCUGCUAGGUUUUUUUUAUUUAAAAAAACUCCUUUUGUUUUUGCGCCGUCGCUCGUCGGCCACCGGAGCUCCGAUGACGGCAGAGAUGGUAGCAAACGGCGGCCCGAACACAGAGGUAAACUCCUCUUCACUCUCUUCUCUUUAUAAAUCAACAGUAAACAUGGAAGAAAAAAAAUGAACGCCGAAAAAAAAACCACCUUUAUAUUCAAGAAAAGUUUGUAUUUUCCUUUCUUUUUCUCUGUAUUUUUCAGUGUUUUUGUGUGCACUCCUUUACACCGAAAAUCCCCCCUUUAUUCUCUUUACAAAUCUGUUUAUAUAUAACCGAAAAAUAUAAAAAAAUGCAAAAUCAAAGAAAUAUUUUCUGUUAUUGUUGCACUUUCUGCCAUUUUCCAGUUUUUUCUCGCAGGUAUGGGCACUGUUGGGGAGUGCUCACGCUCGUGGAGGCGCAAAUCGCGCGGAGGGAGGACUCUGGCCCGCAUUGUGCGGCGGCUGGAGUUGCUGGAGGCUGCCAUUAGGGUUUGGGGUAUGGGGGUUGCUAGUUGGGCCAGGUUUAGGGUUAUUGGGCCUGUAUAUUUGGUUUUUUAGUGGGCCGGACAAUUUGGGCUUGUACAGUUGCCCCUCUUUGCUGGUUGUCGUAUAACGGGAACAGAGCAAAGACUACAAGGCCCAAUUGUGCCCGGUCUUCCUGAGUCUUAACUUCUUCCAUGCCUCUCUUCUUUAGGUAGCCUCAUUCAUUCCUACUGCAUUUUCAGAGGUAUAGGAACUAGCUUCAAUCCACUCCACCGCAAUGUCAGGGAGAUAGGCUUCGUACGUUUUAGCUUCUCAAAAAGAACAAAAUUUGCUAUCUUUAAUCUGCUCCAUUGCAACUUCAGGGAGAUAAGACUUGUAGCUUCAAUUUGUUCUGCUACAACUUAAAGAUAAGUCCGAUGCGAUCUGCUUUACUGCAACUUCAGAGAGAUGAGAUCUGUGGUCUUAAUCCACUCCAUUGCAACUUCAAGGAGAUUGGAUUGGUUACUUUUGUAUCCUCCACUGCAACUUCAGGGAGACAAGACUUGUAUCUUCGAUCUACUUCACCACCAGUAUGGGAAGACAAGAUCUGCUUUCUUCGAUCUACUUCACGCCAAUACAUGAAGACAAGAUCUGCUUUCUUCGAUCGAUUCCACUACCGAUCGGGGAGAUAGAAUUACUGGCUUCAAUAUACUCCACUGCAACUUCAGGGAGGUAAAAUUCGCCAUCUUCGAUCUGCUCCACUACUGCUUAGGGAGGCAAAAUCUGUAAUCUUCAAUCUAUUCCACUGUUGCCCAGGGAGAUAUAAUUACUGGCUUCAAUGUACUCCACUGUAACUUCAGGGAGGUAAAAUCUGACAUCUUCGAUCUGCUCCACUACUGCUUAGGGAGGCAAGAUCUGUAAUCUUCAAUCUACUUCGCCACCAGUAUGGGAAGAUAAAAUCUGUAUAUUCGAUCCACUUCACUACCGAUAUAAGAAUACAAGACCUACUAUCUUUGAUGAAGACAAGAUCUGUUUUCUUCGAUCUACUUCGCCACCAGAAAAGGAAGACAAGAUCUGGUAUCUUUGAUCCACUUCGCUACCAAUAUAGGAAGACAGGAUCUAGUAUCUUUGAUCUACUUCACGCCAGUACAUGAAGACAAGAUCUGUUUUCUUCGAUCUACUUCGCCACCAGUAUGGGAAGACAAGAUCUGGUAUCUUUGAUCUACUUCGCUACCAAUAUAGGAAGACAGGAUCUGGUAUCUUUGAUCUACUUCACGCCAGUACAUGAAGACAAGAUCUGUUUUCUUCGAUCUACUUCGCCACCAGAAUAAGAAGACAAGAUCUGGUAUCUUUGAUCCACUUCGCUACCAAUAUAGGAAGACAGGAUCUAGUAUCUUUGAUCUACUUCACGCCAGUAUAUGAAGACAAGAUCUGUUUUCUUCGAUCUACUUCGCCACCAGUAUGGGAAGACAAGAUCUGGUAUCUUUGAUCAACUUCGCUACCAAUAUAGGAAGCCAGGAUCUGGUAUCUUUGAUCUACUUCACGCCAGUACAUGAAGACAAGAUCUGUUUUCUUCGAUCUACUUCGCCACCAGAAAAAGAAGACAAGAUCUGGUAUCUUUGAUCCACUUCGCUGCCAAUAUAGGAAGACAGGAUCUAGUAUCUUUGAUCUACUUCACGCCAGUACAUGAAGACAAGAUCUGUUUUCUUCGAUCUACUUCGCCACCAGUAUGGGAAGACAAGAUCUGGUAUCUUUGAUCUACUUCGCUACCAAUAUAGGAAGACAGGAUCUGGUAUCUUUGAUCUACUUCACGCCAGUACAUGAAGACAAGAUCUGUUUUCUUCGAUCUACUUCGCCACCAGAAAAAGAAGACAAGAUCUGGUAUCUUUGAUCCACUUCGCUGCCAAUAUAGGAAGACAGGAUCUAGUAUCUUUGAUCUACUUCACGCCAGUACAUGAAGACAAGAUCUGUUUUCUUCGAUCUACUUCGCCACCAGUAUGGGAAGACAAGAUCUGGUAUCUUUGAUCAACUUCGCUACCAAUAUAGGAAGCCAGGAUCUGGUAUCUUUGAUCUACUUCACGCCAGUACAUGAAGACAAGAUCUGUUUUCUUCGAUCUACUUCGCCACCAGAAUAGGAAGACAAGAUCUGGUAUCUUUGAUCCACUUCACUACCAAUAUAGGAAGACAGGAUCUAGUAUCUUUGAUCUACUUUAGGCCAGUACAUGAAGACAAGAUCUGUUUUCUUCGAUCUACUUCGCCACCAGUAUGGGAAGACAAGAUCUGGUAUCUUCGAUCUACUUCACGCCAGUACAUGAAGACAAGAUCCGCUUUUUCUGAUUGAUUCCACUACCAACCGGGGAGGUAGAAUUACUAGCUUCAAUAUACUCCACGGAAACUUCAGGGAGGUAUAAUCCGCCAUCUUCGAUCUGCUCCACUACUGCUUAGGGAGGCAAGAUCUGUUUCUUUGAUCUACUUCACGCCAGUACAUGAAGACAAGAUCUGUUUUCUUGGAUCUACUUCACCACCAGUAUGGGAAGACAAGAUCUUUUGUAUUCAACAUGCUCCACUGUUGCUCAGGGAGAUAAGGCUUCAUGAUUUCACUGAUCUGCUCUCUGUAGAACAUGACCUGUAUGAUUUAUUUCAUGAACCAAUUAUGCCUAAUGAUUAGGAUGUCAUGAUCAGAAUGAAUCAAAUGCCCCUAACUAGAUAUGUAUGAAUGACAUUUGAAUGAAAGCAAAAUGUCAUGAAAAUGAUAUUUUAACGCUUGAGUUAUUAUUACUCCAAGUUUAUUAAGGUUUAAUUGCAAAUGUGCUAUAGCGCCUCUUUGCUCGGCUGGCGUCUCCAAAGAACAUUUGAUCAGAUUGCCCCCCACUGUAAACCUCUAAGUUUGAUCCACUGGGAUGCAAAAAUUUGUACCAUCUUUCUCCCGUUGUAAACCAAGAUGUGAAAGAUUUGGCCUUUUCUCAAUCCUCUGUUAUCACAAUACAGGAUGUGAAACUUUUUGGUCUCUUACACCAUUCCCAGGGUGUUGUACCAAAAUGCUCAUGCACAAAUGAAGAAAUCUUCUCCAAGAACAACUUCCUCUUAUUAUUCGGUGAUCAUUGCUUGCUUGUUCAUUGAAGCUUUGUCACCAACAUGACAUCUUGCCAUUUUAUUCAAUUUAGACAAGAAAAUUCAAAGGGAUAGUCUUUAAUUUAGAAUCUUCUUUAUCAGAUUUCCAACCUGGUGCGUUUUAAACAAUAGUCCUGUUUGAGGUUCCUAUAUUAUUCAGAGACUUCUAGAGUAAUAUGCAAAACUUCCCUUGUGAAAGUUUUACUAGUCCAUUAAUCAUUAUUCUAAUGCAACAUGCUUGCAAAAAAGAUUAUAGAUAAGAAUAGAGUUGGUUCUGCGCAUAACUUGAAAUGAAUAAGUUGUCAAAGAUAAUAAAGAUAAAUGACAAAGAAAUGUGUAUCUUGGAAAUGAAUGAAGUGUUCCAAGAAUAACAAAAAUGAUAUACAGAUUAGGUGCCCCAGAUAUCGUAGCUUGAACUUCUCUGUACAAACUUGCUGAAGAGCUUUCUGGGCUUGACAUGUGUUUAGAAGAUCUACCAUACUCUAUCGAUGCCCCAAGAUGUCGCAUACCAUUUCCUGCUGAUUCUGGUAUAGCAAGACCACUGUAUAUCCCAUUUUGAUCAGUAUUUGAGCUGCUCUGAUUACUUCAUGCCCUAUUCUGAUCAAUAUUUGAGCCGCCCUUUUCGGGUUUUCAACUCAAAUCCCCUUUGGUCUAAGGCGCCCUUUGCGAGUUUUCACCUUAACCUCUCCAUUUUUUACUCAAAGCUCCCUUUGUAGGGUUUCACAUUGGCCUUUUUUUUGACUCAAAGCGCCAUUUGUAGGCUUUCACCUUGGUCCCACCUUUUAGGAAAAGUACUUCCUAACGGAAUUUGAGUUUACAUAGCUUGGAGAAUCUUUACCAUCCAUCUUACUCAGGAUCAAAAUUUUCCCCAGAAAAGGCUUUCUUUAUGACAUAUCCUCUUAAUUUGGCAUCCAUCUUCCUCUAAAAUCCUUUUGUAUAUGAAGGAUUUGCUUCCCCUUGUGAAAAUUUCUAAGACGAGCCUUUGGAUCUUCCUCUUAGGAUAAAAAUGCAGAGAAAUGACAAUUCGACUUCAAUGAGCAAAGCUAUGAUAAACCAAAGUGAAAGACAUUGCCCCAGUAAAGGAAUUUCACUGAGCAUAUCCGGGUAUAACCAUGUGAAGACAUCAUUGAAUUCCUAGGGUAACUCAUAAGGUCUUGAUUUGCUUCUUCAGUCAUACAUGUUCCCUCAAGGUCACAGUCUUCAUUGUCUUUUCAUGAGGUAAAAUCUUCUUCCUGCUCUACCAUCCUUAAUAAAUCCAGAAAUAAGCUACGAUCCAUGUCAUCUUCAAAGUUGUGAGAUCCCUCUAAACACAUGUCUCACUCAAAAGGAGAUUCUAAAUUUGUAGCAGUGUCAUUCAUGUCAUUGAUAUUUGGGGACCUAUAGUGGGUACCAAAAAAAGAAUGUAUGAAUAAUAUAAAUGAACGAAUGAAUGAUUUGGCAGGAGAAAUCCAAUAGAAUGAAGAAAACGUAAAGACUGAAAGAACAUUUGCUCAAAGAUUAUUGCAAUAAUGUAUUCAUUAAAAAUAAUAAUGUUCAGACAUGAGUCUAUUUCACAAAGGAGUUCUUAUUGAUUUUAGGCUAAAAGCAACAAGUGUGUUCUGAACAUUACUCUAUCAAGCUCUAAAUAACAUAGGAGUUUCCUCUGCAGUCCCAUUAUUUAUAACACCUCCCAGGCGGAUAUCUGACCAGAACCCUUUUAAUUGCGUCUGCACAUAUGGCGUCGAUGUGAAAAUCUCAUCACUUCUCUACACAUCACACACCCCCCAUUAUCAAUCAUGAUUGGGUAAUGGACUCUCUGCACUUGAUGAGUCACCAAAUUUAACAACACCCAUGUCGAUGAGUCUUUCAACUUGCUUCUUGAAGGCAGUGUAAUUCUCAAUCGAAUGUCCCGUAGUUCCCGCAUGGUAUUCACAUUGCGCGUUCGCAUCAUACCAUUUGGGAUACGGAGGUUGUAGAGGCUUCACAAGAAAAGGGGAAACAACAUGGGCAUCAAACAGAUUUUGAUACAGUUUCCUAUAUGGUAUUGGAAUUGGCGUGAAUCGGGGCCUCUCUGUGUUUUGUCCUGUACUAGCUUUCUGUCUCGAUGAACCUUGCUGGUUAGCAGCCACCUUUCUUGGCUGACUUACCGUAACUGAUUUAGAGUAACCCAUGUUGUUCACCUCAUCUUCUCUUCUCCUUGAGACUGACCUCUUGUUACUCUCUCCAACAUCGAUCUUUCCACUUCUUAUGGCAUUUUCGAUCAUCUCGCCAUUCAUGAUUAUGUCGGGAAAGCUUUUUGUAGCACUCCCCAACAUAUGUGUAAUGAACGGUGCCUUCAGGGUGUUAAUGAACAACAUGGUCAUUUCUUUUUCCAAGAGCGAUGGCUGAACUUGGACUGCGACCUCCCUCCAUCUCUGCGCGUAUUGUCUAAAGCUUUCACUCGGCUUCUUCUCCAUAUUUUGAAGGGUGAUCCUAUCAGGAGCCAUGUCCGUCACAUGACUAUACUGUUUCAUGAAUGCUUGUGCCAAGUCCCUCCAUGAUCCAAUCGUGGCACGACUCAACUGAUUGUACCACUUGGAUGCUGCCCCAGUAAGGCUGUCUUGGAAACAGUGUAUCAAGAGUUGGUCGUUGUUAACAUAACCCGUCAUUCGCCUGCAGAACAUGGUGAUGUGAGCUGCUGGGCAGCUUGUCCCAUUGUACUUUUCAAAUUCAGGCAUCUUAAACUUAUGAGGGAGAACAAGGUCUGGCACCAAACUCAGCUCUUUUGCGUCAAUGCCCCGAUUACUUUCAGUGACUUCCAUCGCUUUAAACUUCUCCUCGAGCCACUUGCAUCGAUCGUCUAACUGUUUCGGUAAUUCCACCUUUAUUCUUUCCUUCUCAACCACUUCAUCAAAGUCAGGAAUGGCAGAGUUAACAUGAUUAUUUUCAAGAUUAGAACUCGGCCCAGUUUGGAGGUUCGAAAUACCAGCCCAAAACUGCUGAGGCAUGAUAGUGACAGUAGAUUUGCGCGGGUAUUCAGCUUGGGCUCGCGUAUGUGGAGGGGUGAAACCUAGAGUGUAAAGAAUUUCAUCAUCAUUUCCCUCAUCGACAUUUGCCAUGGGACCCUUUCCUUUAUCACUUCCCUUAGUUAUCAGUCGGGUUAACUUUUCCACUAUAUCCUCCUGAGAUUCCCGUAUCUUCUCAGACAUUUCUUGCUUCAUUUUGUCUAACCGCUCCUGCAUUUGUAGCUGAAGCCGGUCUUGCAUCUCCUUCUGGUACUGUUCGAGCUUCUCUAAUCUCUGAUCCAUAUCUUUUGUCUUUGCUCGAGUGCCGUAACGGUGCUUGGUAGGUUGGUUGGUUUCCAGGUUAACUGAGCAAUGAUUUUAAUUAAUUAGGAUCAUUUAGAGGUGUUUAAUGCAUAUGAUGCAAUGUGAUGCAAAUGCAUGAAAUGAAUGCCUAAAGAGAUGUUAACUUUGAUUCAAUUACAUUCAAAAAACUUUACUAGAAGACGAAUUUCUUUACAUAAAGUAGAUAUAUAUAUACGACUUUGCCCUCAUAUUCCAGUCGAAGACAUCUUCUCCUUCUCUAUCCGGAUGCUAGGAUAAACCUUGCGAAUUCUUCAAAAGGAACGUCUCUUCUACCUCCUGGGCUGUGACUCGUUGCUCCUUUAUCGUCGCGAUGCUCGUUGGCUUCCCUUAAAAAAAAGUUCAGCGGCUCUCGAAUAAUCUUCAUCUGUAAUGGCCCAAAUUCAAAAUUAUCGGAAUAGUGGUUUCGUAACCACAAAUCUGAUUUAAAGAAAAAUUUAUUUUAAUAUUUGUGCAUGAAUAUUGAUAUGAUAGGAAAAAUCGUAUGAAAAUAUAGAUAGAAAAAUUUUACUGAUUAAGUGGUUAGUUAGAAAAAGAAAUUAUUGAAGGAAUUAGGUAAAAAUAAGAUAUCGAGACUUUGAUCUAGUAAAACCGAGUCAAAAAUAUUUUUAUAAAUAUUUAUGAAGUGUUAGUAAUAUGGUAUUAAAAUUUCGUUAGAAAAUAUUAAUGUUUGGGUAGUCAAUUAAGUGAAAAGGACUAAAUUGAAAAAAAUGUAAAAGUUACUAGAGGGAUUAAAUAGCUCAAUUGUGAAAUGAGGAGGGAUAUAAAUUGCAAAUAACCUCAAAAGGAGAUAUUUUGGGCGGCAUACGCUGAGAAAAAUCAGGAGAAUUGAAGAAAUAAGGGUAAAAUUGGAAUAUUACAAAAUUUGCUUUAAAAGUUAGGACUAAAGUGGAAUUAUCUAGAUUUCUCUUUAAUUUUCUGCACUUUCAUCAGCCACAAACGUCCUAAGGGUUUCUUCAAGCUGGUUUUUCAUAAUUUUUGCACCAAGUGAGUUAAUUCUUGCCUUUUUCUUGUAAUUUUUGCGUUUCUAAGACUUUUACAAUUAGGUCCUAUUACUUAAUUCAUUAGUUUUUGAUUUUAUGAAUGAUAUUGAAAGUUGAUAUGAAUAUGUGCUGGAAGUUUAUGAGGAAAUAGGAUGAAAUUGAAGCUUUAAUUUGUUUAUGAGAUGAUUUUAUUAGGUAAUUCCAAUAGAAAUUGAUUUGUAGGACCUAAUUGUGAAAAAGUUUGGAAUUAAAGUUUAGUGCUGAAAUUCUUAUUUCCAAAGGUUAUAAGGUAGUUUAAAGUGAUAUAAUAAAGUGUUGAUUGAGAAAAAUUAGCUCAAUUGAGAGGUUAAUUGAGCAGGGACGAAAUUAUCAUUGUUGAAAGUUUAGGGGAAAAAUGGUAAUUAACACCAUGCACUAAAACAGUUUUGGACAGCAGCAGUACUUAACUUUGAAAAAUCACCAAAAAUUUUAGAGAUCGAAUUAGAGGAUGAAUAAAAUAUGAAAUUAAAGCUUAUUGAGUCUAGUUUCUUAUAAAAGAAACGGUGUAAGAAAUGGAAUUGUAAAUCAUGAGAUAUAAUAGAAUUUGUGAGACAAGGUCAGAAUGAAUUCGGGUUCCCCUGUUCUGACUUUGGAAAAUCAUUAAAAAUUGUAAAAAAACGAUUAUGAGUUAUAAUUUAUAUGCUUAGAAUCCUUAAUGAGUCUAUUUUCUGAGGAAAUAAAGGGAAGCAUCAUCCUAAUUCUGUACAGUGAGAUAAUUAAUUUUUAGUGAAGAGGGGUCAGAACUGUCAUACAGUGAAACAGGGGAAACUUUAAAGAAUAAACUGUACUUAUUGGCUAAACCAAAAAUUCUGAAAUUUUUAUGGUAAGAAGAUAUGUGAGUCUAGUUUCAGGAAAAAUUAACGGAUCUUAAUUUGGAGUUCUGUAGCUCAAGAUAUAAAUAAUUUAGUGACUGUGACUCAGUGAGGCAGCUUUGAAUGCACUAUAAAUAAUAAUGGAAUUGUAGAGAAAGUUACAUAUGAACAUGAAAUGUAUUAGAUUAAUGAUUAAAUUUAUUUAUUUAGAUCCGGAAAAUUCAAAUACGAAGCAAGAUCGAGGAAAAGAAAAAGUUCGGGAUUAGUAGAUUUUUGGUUACGAACAAGUGUCGAGGUAAGUUCGUGUAACUUGAAUUAUAUUCAUAAAUGCUUGAAAUGUUUGUUAUUGAUGUGAAUAUGAGUUGGAUGUUUGUUGUAUGAUAAUUGAUGAAGUAUUGAUAUUCUUGAUGAAAAGAGAAAAUAAAUCUCGGUUGAAUGAAAGGAAAAUUCGAUGGAUCUCUGAAAAGGAAUUGACGGUAAAAAGGAUCUAGCCCGGACGGGUGAUCCUAUCCUGAUAUAGCCCUCCCGAAGAAUAUGUGGAAAAUGGAUUUAGCCCGGACGGGUAAUCCGAAUUAGGGUCUGAAUUUAGCCUGGACUGGUAAUUCAGAUCCAAGCUCAUUAGAGUAAUUGUCGUUGCAGGGGAUUUAGCCUGGACUGGUAAUCCCGACAAUACUCUAUGAGUUUAUAUUACAGGGGAUUUAGCCUGGACUGGUAAUCCCGCUGUAAGGAUGAGGUUCGCGGGAGUGUGCUCUCUGAAAUAGAAAUGUGCGCACAUGAAUAUGAAUUGACGGACCCGGAUUUGUACACUUAGGUGUACCCCAGAAUAUCCAUCGAAAUUCCAAGUAGUUCAACGGGAUAAAUAUGGAAAAAUAAUAAGGAAAUGGAAAUCAUGGAAUUGAUGAGCUCAUCAAUCAUUUAUCUUUGUAAUGAAUUUGUAUGAGGUUGAGUUUGUAUGUGAUAGGUAUAUGUUUAUGUGAAUUGGAUGUGUGCUUGUGUUAUUAAAUGAUGGAUGUAUAAGUAUGGUAAGUAUAAUUCCUGUUACAUGAACUUACUAAGCACAAAGUGCUUACCCUGUUUCUUUUUCCCCUGUUUGUAGAGUUAAGAGCUCGGAAGUCGGAUUUGGUCGGAGACACAUCACACUAUCAAUCUCGAGAUCUCGGUACAUAAAGGAACUUUAUUUUGGAAAUCAAUGGCAUGUAUAAGCUAGUAAAUUAGAUGUUAAUGUGAAAUGAAUGUAUGGUUAGCCAUUGGUAUGGCUAACAAAUUUUGGUUUUGGUAUGUGAUGAAAUUAUCUUAUGAAUAUGAUAAAUCUAUCUUAAAAAAAAAAAUUCGGUAAAAUCUGGUAAUGCCUUAUACUCUAUUUCGGCGACGAAUACGGGUAGGGGGUAUUACAUCAUCAGCUUGAGUCUUCGGGCAACGGAGCAAUGGUUAUGUAGUCCUCCAUUAAACUAUCAUCUUCCUCUAGUUGUGUUUUCUCGGAACAUAUUCGGGCAACCGUAUUAUUUUCCACUUUAUCAAGAAACCCAUUUCCUUAUGACAAGCUCUCUAUUAACAACCGAAUGUGAAUCAACACCUCUUUUAUGAUGAAAAAUGCAAUGCAAUCAUGAUGUCAUGCAAUCAAAACAAAAUGCAACAAGUUAGUAUCGGGUAUAAACAUUAAAUCCAAUAUAAGCAAGAAAUAAUAAAAACUCCUAGUCAGGUAUCUCCUAAGGUUUAGAGUACUUCUACCUAAGGUAAGUUCCUAAAGCUCACUAUAUGAGGUUUAGUUUCUAGAGUAAAGGUACCCGAACCAGCAGAUUCCUCGAUCCUCACCCAUUAUAGGCUCAUGUGGAUCAAGUUUAGUUCAGGGGGAUACAUUUCCCUAUGGCUGCACGGAGAUGAAAAUCUCACGAAGACAUAGGUACGGAUGUAUCCCGGAAGCGAUCCACUACCCUGCACGGAGGUGAAAACCUCACGAAGGACUAGUUUCUCGCUCCCACUUAAAGGGUAAAAUGCAAAAUGCAAAUGCAGAGUUGCCAACAUACCAAAACUCAAUGAAUACGAAGGGAACUCAUGAAAUUUUUUUUAAAACACUUUUGAUUUUCGACACAAAGACAAAUAUAAUCGGUUUAUGGCUCGACUCUCCAACGUCCCCAGUGGAGUCGCCAAGCUGUCGAAACCGCUUUUUUGAAAAACAAAAAUUUGGUUGUCGACUUUAAAAAUAAAACUGGAGUCGCCACCGAUCCUUUAUUAAGGUGCGAUCGGCCCACCUUAAAAAUUAUUUUGGCCUACGAAUUUUGAGAAAAUGAGUUCGGGAGUCAGUUACGCACGAGGAAGUGUUAGCACCCUCGUAACGCCCAAAAUCGGUACCAAAUUGAUUAUUUGAUGUCUUAGUGUCGAAGGUUAAAAAGAUUUUUAAAACAACUCAAAUGAUGAAAUCUGAAAAGGAUACUCAAUUGUUCAAGUCAUGUAAAGAAAUCGAGUCCCAAUACGUUAGGGUACAAUUUCUCAAAAUUCUCGAACUUUGAAUAUCACUUUUAUUUUAUGCGAAAAUUUUCAUUUUGGGAAAGUAACAUGCCACACCCAAUACGUUAGGACAGGACAAGUUAAGUUCCCAAAAAUGAUUUUUAUUCUCAUGCAUUUUGAAUAAAGAAUAUUCCCAGCUUUUUAAGAUUGACAAAGAAAAUCAGAACCCAAUGCGUUAGGGCUCAAUUUUCCUCGGAAAUCCCAAACUUCGAAUAAUGCUUUUAUUAAAAAAACCUUUGAAUCAUGAAAAUAACUUUGAUAUACGGUUAAAACCAAAAUAUAUUUUCAAAAGGGUACAUUGAAAAGUUAAUGUACAAUAUGAUACAAAACUUCAAUUUAAAAUACAUGUAUAUAUGUGUCUUUUCAAAAUAUAAGUAUGAGACAUAAAUAAAUUUUGAAAACGUGUAUGAGCAUAUAUUAAAACGGGUAUAUAUAAGUAUACGUAUAUAUAAAAAAAAUGAAAUAUAUAAAACAAAACAAAAACCUAUUAUAAUUUUCUAAGAAAAUAUGCAUGUAUGUAUAUGUAUGCGAAAUUUAUGAAAAUAAGAUAAAAGUAUAAAAAUAUGUACAUGUGUAUAUAUUUACAAAAAAGUAUACAUAUAAAAUAUAAAGUAUAUAUAAAAAGUAAAUAACAAAAAUAAAAAAAACAUAGGUAUAAAAUAUAUGCAUUUAUUUAUAAAACUUUAAUAUAUAUAUACCUAUAUAAAAAAAACCCAUAUGUAUAUUAUAUAUAAAAAAACUAUGCGUAUAUAUAUAUAUGUAUAGAAAAUAUGAUAAUAAUCAAUAAUAAUAACUAAUAUAAUAAAAAUAAUUAAUUUUAAUGAUAAAAUAAUUAAUAACAAGGGACCCAAAUUGAAACUACAGGAAACUUUCAGGUAAACAUUUAAAAUAAUAAAAGCUGAAGACUAAUUUGUAGUGCCCUGGAAACAUCAGGGAGUAAACGAGCAAAUAUACCAGCCCCUUAUACGCAGCAUUUUCAUGUUGGACCAAAUUGAAACAGGAAACAGACGUGCGGUCAAAAUUAAAAAUAAAAAAAAUUGCAUUGAAGGUGACUCAAAAACAGAGGGACCAGUUGCGCAAAUUCCCCAUUCAGGGCCAGAACGCGCGGACCCUGCUUGCGGGUCGGGUCGACGCGCGGAUCUGGCCCCUUGCAAAACGGCGCCGUUUCACUCUUAUUAUUUAAAACAGUUUUCUUCUUUUUUUUUAAAAAUCUGUAGCCAACAAACAAAAAAACUUUUAACCCUCUGCUAGGUUUUUUUUUUAAAAAACUCCUUUUGUUUUUGUGCCGUCGCUCGUCGGCCACCGGAGCCCCGAUGACGGCAGAGAUGGUAGCAAACGGCGGCCCGAACACAGAGGUAAACUCCUCUUCACUCUCUUCUCUUUAUAAAUCAACAGUAAACAUGGAAGAAAAAAAAAUGAACGCCGAAAAAAAAAAACCACCUUUAUAUUCAAGAAAAGUUUGUAUUUUCCUUUCUUUUUCUCUGUAUUUUUCAGUGUUUUUGUGUGCACUCCUUUACACCGAAAAUCCCCCCUUUAUUCUCUUUACAAAUCGGUUUAUAUAUAACCGAAAAAUAUAAAAAAAAUGCAAAAUCAAAGAAAUAUUUUCUGUUAUUGCUGCACUUUCUGCCAUUUUCCAGUUUUUUCUCGCAGGUAUGGGCACUGUUGGGGAGUGCUCACGCUCGUGGAGGCGCAAAUCGCGCGGAGGGAGGACUCUGGCCCGCAUUGUGCGGCGGCUGGUGUUGCUGGAGGCUGCCAUUAAGGUUUGGGGUAUGGGGGUUGCUAGUUGGGCCAGGUUUAGGGUUAUUGGGCCUGUAUAUUUGGUUUUUUAGUGGGCCGGACAAUUUGGGCUUGUACAAUUACUUUUCCCAACAGAUAUCUUUGUCCUUUGCAACCAAAAAAAAAAAAAAAACAAAGAAAAACCAACCAUCCUAUUUUCUAAUUUAAAAAAAUAUUUUCCUUUUUGUGAAAAUAGAUGUUUUCGGAGUAUUGUUGAUUCAAAAGUAACAAAUUUUUCAACAAGUCGAUAUUUUUCUCUCAAUAUUUUCUAAAAGAAUGACAAUUUCAUAAACAACAGCCAUAUUCAUGCUAUUCAAAUGUAUCUUAAUAAAACCCUAUCAUCAUUGAUGUCUAAAAGGAAUUUUUUAUCCCAUUUAAAGCUAAAAGCAACUAUUUUUUUAAAAGCCAAAUUAGCUUUUCAAAACCAUCUUUUUUAAGUCAAAUCAAAAACUUCAAAUUUCGUUUUUACUUUUCUAAAGCUAGUUUUGAGUGUCUAAAUACAAUUUUAUCUCUCAUUUAAUCUAAAACUUUUAUAAAGUAUAGGGACUAAUAGCAGAAUUUAACCCAAAUUUUGUGAUAUUUGAUUCCUCUCCCAUUUUUCUAAUCCAAACAUAAAGUUAGAAAAGGGGAGAUUCCUAUGCUGCUCCAAAUUGUAAGGUUUAUAUCUUGUAGUGAAACAAAAUUACAAAAUUAUAAUUUUGUCAUGUGCCUUUGGAUUUUAAUUUUUUUUAAUAUAUGGUAGUAUUAUAAUUUCAUUAUCGAUGUAUAAAAAAAUAAUCCAACUAUAAUUGAGACCCAGGUAAAAAGCCAGAAAAUUUAUCUUAUCUUAUCUUUCUGCUCUUUUAAUCCUUUAAUGAUCUGUUAAUUUUUGAGAAAGGUACAAAUGAAAUUCUACGUGUGAGAGGAAUGUUAAACUAAGUCGUGAUUCUCUAAACUCCUGCAUGUAUUGCAAUUGAGGUGAUGGAUACAAUGAAUGUUUUGUAGAGUGUAAAUUCUUCUUCUUCUUCGAUUAAGGUUCAAUUUAUCACUUUGUAUAAGAUUAAGGGAAAGGGUAUGUAUGAGUAUAGCUUAAGAUUGUUUUUUUAUCCAUAAAAAAAAUGGUGAUCUAUUUUAUUUUAUUCUUUGCUUAAGGAUCGCGUGAUAUCCUUGAAAAAAAAAUAUAAAGUAGUAGGAAUAAAUCCCAAAAUUAUAUAUAAAUUAUGGUUUAAUGUGUAAUUGUAUACAUAAAAUUUUAAUUUGAUCCAAUUCUUCUAAAUUAUUAACACAAUUAUCGAUAUAACAUCAUUUUAUGUUUAUAUAUUGCAUACAUAAAUAAUUAUAUUCAUCGGAUAUAAAAAUAAAUUGAUAUAUUUAUUUCUUUAAAUGUGCAUGACUAAAUCAAAAUUGAAGUUUCAAGUAUACAUUUGAACCACAAUUAGAGUUUUAUGUGUAUAAUUACACCAAAUUAAAAUUAUGUAUACAAUUGCACAUUAAAUCAAAGUUCAUAUAUAAUUUUGAGAUUUAUCCUUAACUAAUAUAAAGAACGGAGAUUUAUUAGCGUAACUGUUUAUUUCAUUCGUAAAUCACUUAACUUUUCUUAUUGUUGUCCAUGAUUAUCAUUUUUUGUUCACAUUAGUACUAAAACUUUGUUAUUUUUCUCAAUUUGAUCUCUAAACUCAAAAUUUUUUAAGGUAUGAUGAUGUGACAUUAUGAGAUUAUGCAAUGUCAUCACUUGAAUUUUUUUAAAAGUUUUCUUUAUGGUUUCCCCCCUUAAAUUGGUUCAUUUUAUAAAAUUAUUAUUUUAAUAAACAAAUUUCAUGUUAGAAACUGAGAAAAAAAUAUUUACUUAUAAAUAUUUUUAUAAUUUUAUAUAUUUUUUAUAAUCUUAUGUAUUUUUAUCAAGAAUGAGCUUGUAAAUAGUUUUUUUAUGUUUUGAAGUUUUUUUACUUUUAAGAAUUAAGACUAAAUUGAUAAAAUGUGUGAAGUUGAGGGUUAAAUUUGUUAAAAUUUUUUAUUAUGCCAAUAAAAAGAGGCCAUUAAAGUGAUUUAAUGGAUGAGUGACCAAAAUAUUAAAUUUCAAUAACGUUAAUAACUAAAAUAGUAAUUUUUAAACCUGCGUAAACCAAAACAAAAAUAUGCUAGUAAUUGGAUGUCUAUUUUUAUAAUUUACCCAUAAUAAUAUUAAAUGCAAGAUGCAAAGGUAAAAAGAAUCCAAUUAAAUUAUCAUUUUUUAUGAAACCCAAAAAUACAAAAUUAAAAGACUAAAAAAGAAAAUAAAUAAAAUUAUUAAUUUUUGAGAAGGAUCAUCUAAAAGGGGUGAAGUGCACUUACAUGUUCCCUCGAUAGUCUAUGAUUUGAGAGGAGUUAGACGUAAAUUAUUCUGGUUCUUUGAAUAAGAUUCAAUUAAUCACUUUGGAUGGAUUAAGGAAAAGAGUAGCUAUGGAGAUUGCUUAAGAUUGUUUUUCAUCACUUUGAAUCAUUCUUUACUUCAAGUCGAACAUACUUUACAACUAAUUUUUGCAAUUUUCAAAUAAAUGAUAGUUAGUGGUUCAUGUCAUUUUGCAACUCUCCUAUUUUGUUCAUCACUUUCAUUACUUAAAAGAGUACUAUAUAAUAAUAAUUCUUCACUUCACAUGGCAGCUGGAACAGGAAAUAUUGAUGCCUUUUACGCUCUAGUUCGAGAGCAUCCAUACAUGUUGGAGCAUAUUGAUCAGAUUCCUUCCAUCGAUACUCCACUUCACAUAGCAGCAAAUGAAGGCCAAAUUAAUUUUGCAACGGAGAUGAUGAACUUGAAGCCUUCAUUUGCUCGGAAGCUGAACCAAGACGGGUUUAGCCCCAUGCACUUGGCGUUCAGAAAUGGGCACCCCAAGCGAAUGCUUCGACUGUUGAAAAUCGAUAAUGAUCUGGUUCGCGUCAAAGGAAGGCAAGGGAUGACCCCAUUCCUUUGGGCUGCCACAGUGGGGAACAGGGAUUUAAAUUGCGGUCGCAUUGCGUUUAUCGUGGUUGCGGGCAUAACGGAUGCUAUUGCGGUUAUUGCGAGUAUCGAGGUCGUGAAUUUUAAAAAAAAUUCACACAACUUAUUGUAAAAUAUAAUAGCAGUUUCGGACGGUGCCGCUACCGCUAUUUAACGGCGCUAUUUCGGUAACGGACUGCUAUUUAAAUCCCUGGACUGGACUGGGGAACUCUAAUCUUUUAUUCCAGUUCCUUGAAGCUUGCCCUGAAUGCAUGGAAGAUGUGACGGUUCGAAACGAGACUGCAUUAAGCUUCGAAAAACGACCACAUCGGAGCUUUGAAUCUCUUGAUUGGAUGGCUUCAAAGGAACUGUCGUGGAGGAGCCUUUGAUUUGUCAGAAAAGGUUGUAAAUUGGAGAGAUGAAUAUGACAACACUGUGUUGCACAUUACAGCUAAAAAGGAACAAUAUGAGGUAUCUGCAAUGCAACUAUAUUAUCGUUUACUUUUGGGGUUUGAAUUUCUUUUUGCUGCCGGUAUUUAUCUGAUUGUGAUAAGUUUGAUUCUUUUGGUAGUGUUUGUAAGAGGAAUUUGGAUUUGACUUUCUGUUUUAUAAAUUCAUUAUUUCUAUUUUUUUUUGUUUGGAUUUUUUUGUUUAGAUGACUCAAAUUUAGAUUUGAGAUUCAACGACUUAAUUUUUUUAAAAUUUCAUUAUCAAGGAGGAUUUUGAAUAAAAUUGUCUGAACCCGACCAGUUAGAUCGAGAACUAAUUAAUGUAUUGAUUCAGAGAAAGACAUUAAGUCGAUUGAAUUGGACAAAAAACCCCUUGAUCAAGUAGUUAAAACAGACAUUUUUAUUUUAUGAACCUUUAAUGAUUUAUUUAAUAAAACUGAACUGAUAGGUUAAACUAUCAAUUUGAUCAUUAGUUUUCAUAAUAAAGUGGAAAACACAUUUUAUUCAUUCAAAAUCUAGGUUUUCAGAACCAAACUAUAGUGGUCAAACCUAUCAAACUGAUUGCUUUUUCCACUUUGUUUCAUUAAGUCGAGGUUUUCAAAAUAAGUAGUUUGAUCGGUUUGACUAUUAAUUUGAUUAUGAAAACCUUGAUCUUGAAUGAAUAAAAUGAUUUUUCCACUUGGUUAGGAACAGUAGUUUAGGCUAAAACUAAUUGGUGUUUGUAUAUUAUUUGAAAGAGUUUUUUUUUCUGAAAGAAUGUAACUUUCUGUUUUUAUAUUUUUAUAAGUUUUUGGGUUAAAAUAUUAGAAAGGACUCUCAAUUUUAUUGUAUUAUUUAUAUUUUGUUUACACUUAAAUAAAAUCAUAUAAUUUGAUUUGUACUUAAAUAAAUGGACUUAGAUGUAAAUUAAGAGUCGAGGGUUUAUAAAUUAAAAUCGUGAAAAUUAUGGUAUAAAUGAAAAUUUUAAAUAUUUAUACUGUACUAAAUUAAAUGCAUUAAGCUUCGUCACUGUUUUCAAAAUUGGACUGGCUUGUCAAAUCGAUUGGAUCGUGAACCAACCGGGAUACCAAUCCAGAAUAAGGAGUCACACCAGUUGAACCGAUCGGAUCAGUCGAUCGGAUUAGUCAAACUGGUCGGUUAAAUCAACGAUCGAAUAGAUUGAACAAAUUUUCUCUAUUUUUUAAUAUUUUUAAUAAUUUAUUAAAUUAAAUUGGUCGAAUCGAUUGAAACAGGAACCUGUGGUCUAACUGAUUCGCUCAUCAUUCUAGUUCUAAAAACCUUGAAUUUUGUUGAUGAUAUAUUUUAAGUAAAAUUAAUUAUUUAUUAUUUAGGUGUAAAGGUAGUGUCAAAGAAGAGGCUACAAAAAAAUUUGUUUUUUUAAUAAAUUUAAGUUUUAAAAAUUUCAAAUUUUAAAAUCCACAAAUUUAACUCGGAUUUGCACGAACUCAAAUCCAAUUUUUUUUUUUUUUUUUGUUAUGAAAUUAGAUUUACGUUUCCAAAGAGUGGAUUUGAUAAUUGUAUUAAUUAUGCAGGCACUGAAGCUGUUGUUAUAUACCAAUGUUGGGUUACAUGUAACAGCUAAGAACUCGGAAGGUUUGAUGGCUCGAGAAAUCAUAGAAAAUGUUGAAAGAAAAGGCUUGAACAUGAGUGGUGAAGAUGAUGACACUGCCGACAAGAUUAAGCGCAUUAAGAAAAAACUUGAUACCCUAGAACUAAUAUUAAUAGUGUUAAUUCGUGCAAGGAAUGGAUUGUCGGAGAACAUGAUCAACGCAACGCUGGUGACUGUGGCACUGGUUAUAACAGCAGUCGACCAAUCAUCUUUCAGCCCACCCAGAGGUGUUUGGCAAGUUGAUAACAACAGUAUCCCCACCACCACCUCAAACGUUACUACUACUGCUCUUCAAAUCUUUGACGACAAUUACAAUAACUCCAGAUUCAAACACCUGUUGGGUCAAGAAUCAAGGAAAACAGGUACAACAAUCAUGAAUCCCGACUUGUAUUCAAUGUUUUGGGUUUGUAAUCUCCUGACAUUUGAGCUUCCGCUCCUCUCCAAUGUUCCUUCUUUUCUUCUCAUCCCGCUUUAUUAUCUAAGCGUCUCCUACUUUUACUCGAUGACACUAAUAUCCCCGUCGUGGUUCUGGGAAAACGUCAAUUAUAUUCUCACGUGGUUAGCCAUUCUUCUCCCACUUCGCUUACUUCGCUUAAUCAUACGACUACUUAUGUCACCAGCUUACAAGGAGUACAUACGCUUACAUAGAGCUGUUACUAGAGCCAACAAAGUCGGGAUCAUCCAACCCUUGCUAAGGGGUAAUCUAGUUGAUAUUUUAUUAUGUCCUUGAUUUUUUUUUUAAUUGAACUUCUUUUUCUUUUUGUUUAUGUAAUUGCUUGGGAUAAAUUUAUGAAUAAAAUUACUUUGGUUAAACUACAUCAAUAGUCUUUUAAUUUUGUUUAUAUUUAUGUUUCAAUCACUAAAUUUUUAAAACUUAAAAAUUUAUUAUUAAUGUUAUCGGAUUGUUAUUAGGAUAAUACGGGUUUGAUGUGAAACGUUAAAUAUGCCAUAUGUUUAAAAAAAUUUCCUUUCUCUCCUUUUUCGGAUAUUAAAAUAUUUCUUCUUUUCACCUUAUCCUCUCUUCUCCUUCUUUCUCCACCAUUAAUGGUCUCACCAUCUUACUAUUGCCAGUACUCACCAGUCACCACUAUCAACAAUUUCACCAUCUCACCACAACCAAACAUGAACCAACAAACCGACUUUACCCAUAAUAAUACUCAAUAUAAGGUGUUUUUAUCUCUUCCCUUUAUGAAUAUAAUUGGUUCGAUUUUUUGGUUCAAACAAUCAACACUCUAACAGUCAAUAGACUGUGGGAUAGAUCACGUGCAAAACCAACCUAACCUAUGAGUAUAUCCAGAAGAGAAAAAUUAUACAAGUCCAACUCCCCCACAAGUUGCCAAUCGGCUCAUCCACCUUCGAAUUGAUUGGUGCAAUUGGAAUUACAUUGCCAAAUGAAAUACAUGAAGUUCAAGUGCUGACCAUCUACUAGAGGUGGACCAAGUAAAGACCAAUAUUCCAGUGUUGAUUCUCCAAGGCCCUCGAAGAGCCACCAACGCUGACAUCGCCUCCAGACUUGAUUGUUAUUAUUAUAUUCUUUUCAAAUUAUUUUAGUUGUUGUUUAGAAUGGAUCGUGACUAAUUUUUAUUAUGUAAACAAGUUUUGAAUAUUUUAUAUGAUUGAGAGAUUUGUAUGGAUGAUUAUAUUGAAUUUAGAGAGCAGUUAAAUUAUUCAAGUGAAAAAAGUUAUUUUGUAAUAGUGCAUUUGAUUGUAAAAUCUUUUUGUUGUGAUUUUAUAGGCUAAGUUCUCAGGUGAUAGAUCUAGUCUUCAAGGUACAAGAGUAAUUAAGGAUUUUAAACCGGGAUGUGUUAGAAUUAUGUUCAAUGGUUGUAAUUGUUGAAAAAUAGUGGAUUCUUCUCAUUGAAUUAGGCAUAGUAGGCAUAGAGAAAUUGAAUUGCGUCAACAACCUUGUUAUCCUCUAUUUUAAUUUUGGUAUCACAAUGCUUGCAGAAGUACCCACCUCUGCAAUCACUUUUGCUCGUAAUUGCGUAAAUAACAUUGUUAUCCUCUUUUUUUGCCAUUGUUUUUAUAAUUUAAAAACUUUUUUUAUAACUUUAAAAUGUAAAUUUUAGGAUUUUAGAGCUUUUUGAUGUUUUUAGAUUUUUAAAAAACAAAAUUUAGAAUUAUUGUUUAAAAAAUUUUAAAAGUAUGAAAACAAUAUUUUUAGUUAUAGUCAAUUUUGUUAUUAACCCUUUGAAUUAGCGUGUCACAAUCCUCUUAACAGGAGUUAAAGGAUGGGUGACCAAAAUAUAACAAUUUAAUAACGGUAGUAACUAUGACAUAAAUUUUGAAAGUUAAGCGACUAAAAUAUAAAUUUGAAGUUUUUUUUAGGAAUUAUUGUUAUAAGUUGCCCUAAUUUUAAAUUGAAUGAGAAAAAGAGGUAUUAGUUAUAGAAAGCAGUAGAAUGACAGACAACAAGCAUCUAUUUUUAUUGUUGGUUUAAUGGCUAUGAGUAUUCGUACUUGAUUUAUGUCAUAAGUUCCAACAAAAGAUAUAAAAUAAAUGAAAAAAGAGUAUCAAACAAAUCAUAUAAAAACAGGUUUAUAAUUCGUAUUUUUCACGAUUAAUUAUGUACGUGUUUUUAAUUUAAAUUUUAUUCUUUAUUCGAUAUGAUUGGACAGCAUAUAAUUACUGUAGUAACUAAAAAAUGACUAAAUCCCUAAACAUGUUUAAUUGUAAUGUAAAUUAUGGUUUCAGUUUAAGAAACCAGCUUCCAUAAAUAAAAAGACUGGUUGUUUAUUGAGCCACUAGAAGAGGCGGCAGAGGAGGAGUCGCCUAAAAUUGGAAAUAAAAUGAUUUAACGUCCUUCUUUCUCCUUUGAAUAUUCCAAGCUGUCCAUUAGUUUGACUAGUAAAGUCUAUAUGAAGUAUGGAUAUUAUUCCAAAUCAUCAACUUUAUCCACCAACAUAGUUGAGCUAUUAACACGUGUCUAUUUAUUUGCAUAAAUCGAGCCAAUGGUUUUGGAAUACUUUCUAUGGGAAUGGGUAUAUCCUUUUUUUGGGGUCAAAUAAAUCUGAAUUACUAUUUUGGUACAAAAUAAUUGAUAAAAAAUUUAUAAUUUAAAAAAAGAAAAGAAAAGAAGUAACAAAUGUUAUAAAUGUUCCAUAUCUUCAAUUAUUUACCUCAAAAUUUGUUUUAUGAUCAAUUUUUUUAAAAUUAAAUAAGAUUGAUUAAAAAUAUUCACCAUAUAAUUCAAAAUUUUAAACAUUUUAUUUUCAAACUCGUAUUCCUUAAUAAAUAAUAUAUUUUAAACUAUCUUGUUAAUACUAAUUUCUUGAUAAAUAUGUUUUUAAAUUAAUUACUUUUUUUUUCAAGAUUAUCUUAAAAUUUUUUAAGUUUGUGUUUGUUUAAAUAUUGAAAUAAUAGUUGGUUCACUACUCGUGUGGAGUUUUUAAAUUCCACAAGCAAGAUUAAGGUUGCCUGUAAAAUAAAAAAAAAAAUUUUUAAAAAGAGACAUUUGACAAUUUUUUAAGGUUGCUUGUGAUGGAAAAUGAAUCACACCGCGUUUUUUUUUUAAUUAAGUGUUAUAGUCGGUUUGUUGACUCCUAUUUUUUAGCAAGACUGUUAGACAAAUAAGUUUGUCUAAUCUUUAUGGGGUUAUUCUAUUUUCAUUAGUCUGUUAGUGGAGGAUCUUACUUCCACGAUUUAAUUGCAUAAUUGUUGAAGUUAACGAUAGUGAAUUGAUUUUGAUUAUCUUCCUCUCUUGUGUUAAGUAUUCCUUUAAAGUUUGUCAUCAAUGGUAUUAGAGCCAGGUUUAGCGUGUUUUGUAUUGUGUUCCAAAUACGAUGUCACAACAUCCGAGUGAUUUUAUUAAAUUUGUUCAACCUGCUAUUCCUUGCUUUGAUGGUCAUUAUAAUCAUUAAUGGAGCAUGUUAAUAGAAAAAUUUUUAAGGUCAAAAGAAUAUUGGUCUGUCGUUGAGGAUGGAAUCCAAGAGUUGGAAGUUGGAACCAGUUUGACAGAUGCACGGAAGAUGGAGACUAAAUUCUUAGAAAUAACAGUAUAUGGACUAAUUUUUAAAUUUGUAAAAAGUACAAGGACUUAUGAUAUAUUUUAACAUUUUAUUAUGUUUAUACUAUAAUUUAAUUUGAAUAUUUGUUAAUGCCAAAAUGAUAAUAAUAACAUGACAUAAUAAUUAUAAUGAUGAUGAUGUGUGAAAAUAAAAAUACUUCACAUUUAAAUUGAUUAUAAUUUAAAUUUAUAUAUUUCAUAUAUCAUAAUAUUAAUGAAUUUGAGUUUAUAUAUUCUAUAUAUUAUAAUAUUAACAAAUUUGAGUUUUUUUGUAUUUCUUAUUCAUUUAGUUUUAAUUUUAGAAGUGAUUUCAGGGAUGGUUUUGACCUCGUCCUCUCCAGUUUAGUAGAUAUUCGAUUCUUUUCCCAAUUUUAUCUACUACUUUAGAUCAUUCAAGGUUAAUUUUCUCAUAGUGUUAAAUGUUUGCAAUCACUCCAAAUAAUCAUACUUGAGUUGUGAUGGAGACGAUUGCUAACUUGCUAUAUAUUAUCGAUUUUAUAGCGUAAUAUUUAAAAGUAAUUUUUUACCGCCAUACUAAAAAUUUUAAAUAUUUUAAGAGUACAAUUUUUAAAAGCGAAGCUGGUCAACUUGCCCUAAAGUAAAUGGCGAAAAUGCGUCGAAAUUAUAUUGAAGUGAGAAAUGGGGAGUGGGAGUCAAGAUAUUGAUGUCUGUAAUAGGCGGCCAUCGAUUCAUAUCCGUCAUUAGAUAUAAAUAUAUUAAUCAUUUUUUAAAAUAUUCGAUAUUUUUAUGCAAUAUAAAUAUACCCUUGAGGGAUUAGUUUAGUGUCAGAUUGAGCUAAAUCAGUUGAGGUUUCAAAUAAGGAUAGUAAUUUUGCAACUCUCCUAAUUUCUUCAUCAUUUAAAGAAAGAAACAAAAGCAUGGAUCCAAGCUUGAGAGAAAUAGCUGGAACAGGAAAUAUUGAUGCCUUGUACUCUCUCAUUGGAGAGGAUCCAUACAUGUUGGAGCAUAUUGAUCAGAUUCCUUUCAUCGAUACUCCACUUCACGUAGCAGCAAAUAAAGGCCAAAUUAAGUUUGCAAUGGAGAUUAUGAACUUGAAGCCUUCGCUUGGUCGGAAGCUAAACCAAGAUGGGUUUAGCCCCAUGCACUUGGCCUUCAAAAUGGGGCAUACCAAGCUAGUGCUUCGACUGUUGCAGACCGAUAAAGACCUGGUUCGCGUCAAAGGAAGGGAAGGGAUGACCCCUUUCCAUUGUGCAGCUGCAGCGGGGAACUCUAAUCUUUUAUUCCAGUUCCUUGAAACUUGCCCUGAAUGCGUUGAGGAUGUCACGGUUCGCAACGAGACUGCAUUACAUCUUGCUCUGAAAAACGACCACACCGACGCUUUUAAUUUCUUACUUGGAUGGCUUCGAAAGAACCGUCGUGGAGGAGGCAAGGAUUUGGAAAGAAAGGUUGUGAAUUGGAGAGAUGAUGAUGACAACACUGCGUUGCACAUUGCAGCUACAAAGCAACAACACCAGGUAUAGAUGCAUUAUAAUGAUAAGUUGCGUAUAUUCCUUUGAUAAUCUUACUAAUGACUGUUUAUAAUAUUCUACGCAGGCAGUACAACUGUUGUUGGAUUCCUUUUAUGGGUUAGAUGUAAAAGCUAAGAACUCGGAAGGCUUGACAGCUCGAGAAAUCAUAGAAAAAGUUGGAAGACAAGGGUUGAACAUGAGUAGCGCCGAAGACGAUGAUAAGACCACCGCCAAGAUUAAGCGCAUUAAGAAAAGAACUAGUCGGUCUGAAAGAGCAUUAGUAAGGUUGAUUCGUACAAAGAAUGGGUUGUCGGAGAACAUGAUCAACGCAACACUGGUGGUAGCGGCGCUGGUCAUAACAGCGAUCUACCAAUCAUCUUUAAGCCCACCGAGAGGUCUUUGGCAAGGUGAUAACACGAGUAACCCCACCACCACCUCAAACCUUACUACUACCACUAAAUUUAAACUCUUUAACGACAAUUACGCUGAAAAACUUUCUAAACAUGUGUUGGGUGAAGAAACAAUGAAACCUGGUACAGCAAUCAUGAAUCCCAACUUGUUUUUAGGGUUUUGGUUAUUCAAUUUUAUAGCAUUUGGGCUUCCGGUUCUUCUAACCGUUUUCCUUUUAUACGAUGUAGCUCGUAUUCUUCUUCUCCCGCUUUAUUUUCUAUCCGUCUCCUACUUUAACUGCAUGACAAUAAUAUCUCCGUCCAUGUUUUGGGCAAACCUCAACUUUGUUGUCAUGUGGACAGCCAUUAUUCUCCCGUCUGUCUUAGUUUUUGGAGGCGUAUGGUUAUGUAUGCUGCCAAAGCACCGGGAAAUCAGACAAAUACGCAGACGUGUCCGCAAUGACAAUAAUAUCGGAAUAAUUCAGUACUUGCGAAUGUCAGUCUAACUUAUAUAUUAUAUUUAUGUACCCUUUUCCAUUUUCUCUGUAUUAAUAUCUUUUCUUUUUGAAAAAAGAAAAAACACUAUGUAAUUGCUUUGGAUAAAUUUAAUAAAAACAGAUAUAUUUGAAGUAUUGUUUGUUUAAAAUCCACUGAUUUCUAAAUGUGUUAAUAUCAUUUUCGAGUUAUUAAUUAAAAAUAUCUUUAACAUAAAGAUAUAUGUAAUAAUUACAUACUUAUUAUUUUAUCUAUAUAAUAAAAAAGUUAUUGAUUAAAAAGAUGAAUUAAAAAAUUAGAAAAUAAUAUAUUUGUUAAUUAAAAAGUACUAUUUUUUUAAAAAAAUAACAUGAGAUAAAAAUAUAAAUAUGCGUAGGAGAUGUCUCAAAAAUAAAAUGACUAACAUUUAACUAUUUGAUCAAAUGAAUUAAUGCGUCAAGUUAUUAAAAAAUAUAUAUUUUAUCCUACAAGAUGCAUUUUACAAAAUCAACUUAUUUCUAUAAAUAUUAAAAAAAUCUACCUAAUACUCUAAUUAUUUUCUAAAAAGGACAGAUAUUGCUAGUGUACCCUAAAACUAGGAUGCGCCACGCUUUCUAAAGCAAAUAAUAAUAAUACAUUAAUCUAAAUUUCAUGAGCCCUUUUCUUAAUUCUAAGAAAUAAAAUCUCUCAAAUAAAAAUAAUACAUAAAAUAAUCUUAAGUCUCGUAUGCGAAAUUGAGUUUUUGUGUCAAAUUUGUAUAUUCGUUAUAGAAAUGAUAAAUUAAGUAAAAUUCAUGUCCAAAAUUAAUUAAAAUAAAUAAUAAAAAUAUAUUAUCAUCUAUAUUUUAUAAUAUUAACUAUCAUUUAAAUAUAUAUUGUCUACUUUAUAACAUAAAUAUUUUAUCUUUUAAAAAAUACUCUUCUUCUUCUUUUUUACAAACAAAGACUGGACAUAUUUAUUGAAGUAAUACAACAAUGAGAAUAAAAAACAAAAACCAGCCAAAUAAAUAUAAACCCUAGGACUUAAAACAUUUUUCAUCUAAAAACAAGAAUAUUAAAAUACUGAAAAACCUCCAAAUUUACCGUUAUCUACAUCCAUUACUAAUCGUAGACGGUGACAAAGACAUUCGACAGAUGAUAAGCAUUAAAAAUUACUCUUUUAACUACAAUACUAAAAGCGUCCGCAAACCAUUUUUCAAUAAAGAUAUUAAUCAAGCCGGAUUAAUUUAGAGUUAAAUCGAGUAAGUCUAAGGGUGAAUUUGGAUGGGUGAUUGGGUGCUGUGCGGUACGUUUAGUUUACUUUUUGUCUCACGCUAUAGUAUCGCUACAGUAUCUAAUCUUACCGCCAUCGCUAUUUUUACACUAACCGCAGGUAAAUCCACCGCCCAUCCAAACUCACUCUAGAUUAAGUCCGUAGAUGAAUUUCCACAUCUUUUUUUAGGCAUUAAAUUGAGAGCCAAUCAAACCUUCCCCUAAUUCCCCUUACCAAUCUAUAAAAAAUUGGAUCUUUGGUUUGAUUUUAUCAAUAAAAGAAAUUCCUUCCUCGGUUUCUUAAAUUUGAUAACUUUUAUCAUUAUCAUUAUUUUGUUCACUUUUCAUCAAUAAUGAGAUCAAUUGUUUCGCUAAUAGAAUAGAAAAUAGAUAGUUACUCAAUAUUAUAAUGGUACCAUGUGUUUUUAUGUUUUUAAUUUUUAAUAUAAUUAAAGGAUGCAUUGUAAUGUAAAGAAUAAUAAUUCUAAUUAUCUAUGCUUAAAAUUAAUUCAGUUGUGCUUUCAAUCAAUGUAUGAUUUUGAUAUUGCAAGAGGUGUCCAGCUAUGUGGUGAGAUCUUGAAGGUGUGUCUUUGUAACAACUUGAGAAGCUUUUUGGAUUUUUUUUCUUCUUCUUUUAGGUUUAUUAUUAGUAAAUGAAUUUUUGCUGCAAAAAAUUAGCUUAAAAACAAAAUAUAAAAAUGAUAGGAAAUAUGUUAAUUUUAUACAACGACAAUUAAUGACAUUGCAAUAUAUUACUUAACAACAUGAACAAUCCCCACCAUCGUAUUGUCAUUCCCAAGUAAUGGCGUAUUCUCUUUACUUGGAAAAUAUCCCUCCUAACGCUGGCCGAAAUUGGUUGAAACAUUAUGCAGCUCAUUUGGUAAGAUAAUGGACGUGUUUAUUGCAUCAAAAAGAAAUAGAAGAGGUCGUCGGUUUUGUUUCGUUAGGUAUGGUAGGUUGGAAGAAGCAAAGAGAGCAUUGUGGAGUCUAGAUGGAAGGUGGUUCUCUAAUCAUAGAUUGACAGUCAGUAUGGCGAAGUUUAAACCUAGAGAUGAUUUGUGGAGGAAGGCAAAUGGGAGAGAGGUCAGACAACAUACAUAGAAUAUGGAAAGAAGAUGUGUUGAAGGAAAUACGGGGCCGCAUGCAAGUGAGAUUAUGGCAAAUAAUAAACAACAUGAAGAAAAUGACCCAAUCAAGUUGGACGAGAUGGUGGAAGAUUUAUGAAUUUCCAGAACAAAGUAGUAGAGGGAGCCAUUGAUGGAGAGAACUUGAAGUGGCUUGAAAAAUGUAUUGUGGGUAGAAUGAGAAACAAUGCUACUGUGGGGUUAUGGGGUGAUACUGGAAUUUAUAAAAUUGGAGUCCAAAGAUUAUCGGGUAAUGAUUUGUAUGAAUUGGAAGCCAAUGAAUGGGGAGAUGUUUUGCAAGUGUUUCAGAAAGUUGAACGGUGGACAACAAAGAUGAAAGAGUAAGGUGGUUAUCCUGUUACGAGAUUCCAAUACAUGGUCUUCGAGGAGGAAGUAGUUAAACAACUUGCUGCUAUUGAAUAGUAAAAUUGGUUUGAUUUAUUAUUUUUGGUGCAAACAAUCAACACUCAAACGGUCAAUCGGCUGUCGGGUAGAGCACGUGCAAAACCAACCUAGCAUAUGAGAAUAUAUCCAAAAGAAGAAACUUAUCCAAGUCCAACCCCCCACAAGUUCCCAGUCGGCUCAUCCCAUUGACCUUUCCACAACUUCGAAUUGAUUGGUGCAAUGCGAGGUCCAAUAUUGGAAGGAGAAUGGAAUCUUAACCGUGGGACCACACUUAAGCCGGCGUCCUAAAUGAUUAGAUGCGUGGAAGACGGUGGGUAUUCUUUCACCCAAUAACAUCACUACAUAUACACAAACCAUGUCUGCCCAUCUAGUGGGCUACUUGUGAUAAAACAGGAAAGCAAUGAAAAAUAAUAAUAUAAAGAAGAGAAAAACAAAAUCCUACACCUAAUAUAAUUUUUCCUAAAUACAAGAAAACAAGUUUUGGGAUAGAAAAUCAUAUCGAAGAUUAAACGAUUCAAUUCAUUUAGAUUUGAACGUUAAUUAAAUGAUUAAACAUUCAAAUCUCGUUAAAUUCAUGAACACAAUUUACAAGCUUUUUAUUAGUUAGAAUAUUCUCUAAUGCUUAAACGGUAUCAAUUCAAUCGAUUUAGUUCUUUUAUUAAGAACUAAGAACUGUCAGAGACAUUUUAAAAGGGUUACGUAUAGCAUGGGAGAAAAAGUUUUGUCAAUUAGAGAUUAAGAGAUUGAUUGCAGAGAUGAUUGCAGAGAGAGGAGCAGUUGAUAGUUAGUUGAUGGAAUUACAUUCUAUUCAUGGAAUGAUGCAUUGAGAUUGAAAGAUUUGUUUUCGACAUAUCCCAAGAACUCACAAGAUUAUAGCGACAAGAUUCACUGAGGUCCAAGUAUUUAAAAAUCCACUUUAUUUUGUACAAGAUUUAGAACAAGCAGAUUACAUUAGCGUUACACAGACUAAUACGUUAUCUUAAUAGUAUUAUUUUAAUUUACGAAAAUAAUAAUAAUGGAGCCCAUGCAUGGUUUUGGAAUCUUUUCUAUGUCACAGCUCUGGGGAUGGGGUCAAGACACAACUAUCCUUUUUUGAGGUCAAAUAAAUCUCAAUUAGUUUUUUUAACCCUCUGUAUAUUUAUCUAAUAAAAUUUUGAUAUAAUAUUUUCCACAUUUCAUAAUGAUCGAAGAAGUGUAAAAAAAAAAAGUUGAUAAAAAGUUUAUAAUUCAAAAUUGUUCCAUAUCUUGGAUUAUUUACCUGAAAAUUUGAUAUGUUAUAUAAAAAUUUAUUUUAUGAUCAAUAUAUAUCAAGAAAAAAAAUUGAUUAAAAAUAUCCACCAAAAUGAUAAGAAUGUACAUAAUUCAAAAUUUUAAACAUCUUAUUUUUAAACUGAUAUUCCUAUGUAAAUUAUAUAUUUUAAAAUAUGUUUUUAAUACUGAUAUUUCUUAAGAAAUUUGUUUCUAAAUUAAAUACUUUUUUUUUCAGAAUUAUCUUAAAAUUUUUGAAAUUUAUGUUUGUUUAAAUAUUGAAAUAAUUUUUGAUACGCUGCUUGUGGAAAAAGAUUGACAAAAAAUAGUAAAAUAUUAAAAAAAGGACACAUACUACCAAUACACAAAAUAUAUUAUCUAUUUUAUAACAUAUUACUUAAAAUAAAUAUUUUAUUUUCACAACAAUACUAAAAAUAUAAAUUUUAGAGUAAAAAUUUUUGAAAGCGAAGCUGGUCAACUUGCCUUUAAACAAGUGGCGAAAAUGCGUCCAAAUUAUAUCAAAGUGAGAAACAGGGAGUGGGAUUCAAGAUUUUGUCGUCUGUGAUAGGCGGCCACCGAUUUAUAUCCCUCAUCAAAUAUAGAUAUAUUAAUCAUUUUUUAAAAUAUUCGAUAUUUAUAUUCAAUAUAAAUCUACCCUUGACGGAAUAGUUUAGUGUAAGCUUGGUUUAAAUCAGUUGAGGUUUCAAAUAAGGAUAGUUUGCAACUCUCCUAAUUUCUUCAUCAUUUAAAGAAAGAAACAAAAGCAUGGAUCCAAGCUUGAGAGAAGUAGCUGGAACAGGAGAUACUGAUGCCUUGUACGCUCUAAUUCGAAAGGAUCCGUACAUGUUGGAGCAUAUUGAUCAGAUUCCUUUCACCGAUACUCCACUUCACAUAGCAGCAAAUGAAGGCCAAAUUAAGUUUGCAAUGGAGAUGAUCAACUUGAAGCCUUCGUUUGGUCGGAAGCUAAACCCAGACGGGUUUAGCCCCAUGCACUUGGCCCUCCAAACGGGGCAUACCAAGCUAGUGCUUCGACUGUUGAAGACCGAUAAAGACCUGGUUCGCGUCAAAGGAAGGGAAGGGAUGACCCCUUUCCAUUGUGCAGCUGCAGUGGGGAACUCUAAUCUUUUAUUCCACUUCCUUGAAACUUGCCCUGAGUGCGUUGAGGAUGUCACGGUUCGUAACGAGACUGCAUUACAUCUUGCUCUGAAAAACGACCACACCGACGCUUUUAAUCUCUUACAUGGAUGGCUUCGAAAGAACCGUUGUGGAGGAGGCAAGGAUUUGGAAAGAAAGGUUGUGAAUUGGAGAGAUGAUGAUGACAACACUGCGUUGCACAUUGCAGCUACAAAGCAACAACAUCAGGUAUAUAUGCAAUAUAAUGAUAAGUUGCGUUCCUUUGAUCAUUUUAUUAAUUAUGACUACUUAUAAUAUACUACGCAGGCAGUACAACUGUUGUUGGAGUCCUUUUAUGGGUUAGAUGCAAACGCUAAGAACUCGGAAGGUUUGACAGCUCGAGAAAUCAUAGAAAGGGUUGAAAGACAAGGGCUGAACAUGAGUGGCGCCGAAGACGAUGAUACCACCACCGCCAAGAUUGAGCGCAUUAAGAACAGAACUAGUAGGUCUGAAAGAGCAUUAGUAAAGUUGAUUCGUGCAAGGAAUGGGUUGUCAGAGAACAUGCUCAACGCAACACUGGUGGUAGCGGCGCUGGUCAUAACAGCAAUCUACCAGUCAUCUUUAAGCCCACCAAGAGGUCUUUGGCAAGGUGAUAACACUAUCCGCACCACCACCUCAAACCUUACUUCUACUACUAAAUUUACACUCUUUAACGACAAUUACGAUAUAGCAAGUUCUAGACAUGUGUUGGGUGAAGAAACAAGGAAAACUGGUACAGCAAUCAUGAACCCCAACUUGUUUUUAGGGUUUUGGUUAUUCAAUUUAAUAGCAUUUGGGCUUCCAGUUCUUCUAACCGUUUUGUUUUUAUCCAAUGUACCUAGUAUUCUUCUCAUCCCGCUUUAUUAUCUAUCCGUCUCCUACUUCAACUGCAUGACAAUAAUAUCUCCUUCCUCGUUUUGGGCAAGCAUCAACUAUGUUAUCAUGUGGGCAGCCAUUGGUCUCCCGUUGCUCUUAGUUGUUAGAAGCGUAUGGUUAUGGAAGCAGCCAAAGUACAGGGAAAUCAGACAAUUACGCAGACUUUUCCGCAAGUAAAAUAAUGUUGGAACCAUUCAACGGUUGCGAAUGUCAAUGUUGUUUAUAUGUUCUCUUACGUUAUGUACUUUUUUCCAUUUUCGGUAAAAAAUUUAUGUAAUUGUUUUGGAUAAAUUUAAUAAAUAAGAUUACUUUUUCCAACAAUAUCUUUGUCCUUUGCAACAGAAAAAAAAAACAUAGAAAAACCAACCAUCCUAUUUUAUAAUUUAAAAGAAUAUUUUCCUUUUUGUAAAAAGAGAUAUUUUCGAAGUAUUGUUAAUUCAAAAUUAACAAAUUUUUUAAUAAAUCGAUAUUAUUCUCUAAAUAUUUUCUAAAAAAAAUACAAAUUCAUAAACAACAGCUAUAUUCUUUUUCGUUGUGAUUUCGGCAAUAUAAGGCCGAAUUAAAUUUGUAAAAAGGGGUUACGAAGAUUGUAUCAAGAAACGAUUAGAAGAAUAUAAAAAAAAACAACACAGAGAAAAAUAGCAAUUUGGAGAGGUGAUUUUCUCUUUGGGAUUUUCUUUUCAUUUUUUCCUUUUGAUUUACUGUUUUUUGCAUAAAACAAAUAGAAAAGAAAAGGAGGAACCAUACCUGGGAGGCGUGCUUGCGAAGCCCUUCCUUGUUCUGUGCAGGGUGCAGAAUGAAGGAGUAGAGGGCUUUUGGGAAGAAGCGGCGCACGCAGGAGAGGAAUAACCUAGGGGUUUUUUUUUUUUUUAAAACCUUUAAAUGGCUUUUAUGCAGCAUACAACACGGCACCGUUUGGAGCCUGAUCAGUGGUUUCAAAACGGUGCCGUAUAGGCCUGUACCCAUGCGCGACCCGAUCCGACCCUGAGAGGAUCCGCGCGUUUUGUAAAUGGUUUAUUUUCUCGUUUGAUCCUUCUUGUUUUUCAAAAUGUGUUUAAUUAUUUUUUUCUUUUUAAAUUCAAUCACAAGUUUUAUUUCUGUUCUAAUUUAAUCCCCUAUCUGUUAUUAGUUAUUUAUUAUUAAUUAUUUUUACUAUUAUUUUUAUUAUUGUAUAAUAUCAUUUUUAUGGUGUUAUUAUUACCAUUACAACCAUAUUUAUGCAUACAUUUUUUUUGAAAUAUACGUACAUUUUUUUUAUAAUUUAUAUAUGUACAUACGUUUUUUAUAUUACACAAUUUAUAUACGUAUCUUUAUAUAUAUUUAAAUACAUAUUACUUUAAUUUUCAUAAAUAUAUAUAUACAUUUACAUUUUAUAAUACAUAUACAUUUUCCAAACUUUAUAGUCCAUACGUAUAUACAUUCAUUUUCUAUAAUAUACAUAUACGUACAUUUUUUGAAAUUAUUAUAAAUAUUUUUUUUUGCAUAUUUCAUUUUUUAUAUACAUAUACUUAUAUAUACAUAUUUUAAUACAUGCAUAUACAUAUUUUCAUAGUUUACUUAUAUAUUAUACUUAUACAUUUUUUAUAUUUUGUAAAUAUAAGCCGACCGAGAGGUCUUUGGCAAGGUGAUAACACUAGUAACCCCACCACCACCUCAAACCUUACUACUACCACUAAAUUUAAACUCUUUAACGACAAUUACGCUGAAAAACUUUCUAAACAUGUGUUGGGUGAAGAAACAAUGAAACCUGGUACAGCAAUCAUGAAUCCCAACUUGUUUUUAGGGUUUUGGUUAUUCAAUUUUAUAGCAUUUGGGCUUCCGGUUCUUCUAACCGUUUUCCUUUUAUACGAUGUAGCUCGUAUUCUUCUUCUCCCGCUUUAUUUUCUAUCCGUCUCCUACUUUAACUGCAUGACAAUAAUAUCUCCGUCCAUGUUUUGGGCAAACCUCAACUUUGUUGUCAUGUGGACAGCCAUUAUUCUCCCGUCUGUCUUAGUUUUUGGAGGCGUAUGGUUAUGUAUGCUGCCAAAGCACCGGGAAAUCAGACAAAUACGCAGACGUGUCCGCAAUGACAAUAAUAUCGGAAUAAUUCAGUACUUGCGAAUGUCAGUCUAACUUAUAUAUUAUAUUUAUGUACCCUUUUCCAUUUUCUCUGUAUUAAUAUCUUUUCUUUUUGAAAAAAGAAAAAACACUAUGUAAUUGCUUUGGAUAAAUUUAAUAAAAACAGAUAUACCUAGAGAUGAUUUGUGGAGGAAGGCAAAUGGGAGAGAGAUCAGACAACAUACAUAGAAUAUGGAAAGAAGAUGUGUUGAAGGAAAUACGGGACCGCAUGUAGGGAAGAAUGCAAGUGAGAUUAUGGCAAAUAAUAAACAACAUGAAGAAAAUGACCCAAUCAAGUUGGACGAGAGGGUGGAAGAUUUAUGAAUUUCCAGAACAAAGUAGUAGAGGGAGCCAUUGAUGGAGAGAACUUGAAGUGGCUUGAAAAAUGUAUUGUGGGUAGAAUGAGAAACAAUGCUACUGUGGGGUUAUGGGGUGAUACUGGAAUUUAUAAAAUUGGAGUCAAAAGAUUAUCGGAUAAUGAUUUGUAUGAAUUGGAAGCCAAUGAAUGGGGAGAUGUUUUGUAAGUGUUCAGAAAGUUGAACGGUGGACCACAAAGAUGAAAGAUUAAGGUGGUUAUCCUGUUACGAGAUUCCAAUACAUGCUUGGUCUUCGAGGAGGAAGUAGUUAAACAACUUGCUGGCUUGCUGCUAUUGAAUAUUAUAAUUGGUUUGAUUUAUUAUUUUUGGUACAAACAAUCAAGACUCAAACAGUCAAUCGACUGUCGGAUAGAGCACGUGCAACCAACCUAACAUAUGAGAAUAUAUCCAGAAGAAGAAACUUAUCCAAGUCCAACCCCCCACAAGUUGCCAAUCGGCUCAUCCCAUUGACCUUUCCACACCUUCGAAUUGAUUGGUGCAAUGCGAGGUCCAAUAUUGGAAGGAGAAUGGAAUCUAAACCGUGGGACCACACUUAAGCCGGCGUCCUAAAUGACUAGAUGCGUGGAAGACGGUGGGUAUUCUUUCACCCAAUAACAUCACUACAUAUACACAAACCAUGUCUGCCCAUCUUGUGGGCUACUUGUGAUAAAACAGGAAAACAAUGAAAAAUAAUAAUAUAAAGAAGAGAAACAAAAUCCACACCUAAUAUAAUUUUUCCUAAAUACAAGAAAACAAGUUUUGGGAUAAAAAAUCAUAUCCAAGAUUAAAGGAUUCAAUUCAUUUAGACUUGAAUGUUAAUUGAAUGAUUAAACAUUCAAAUCUCGUUAAAUUCAUGAACAGCUUUUCAUUAGAUAGAAUAUUCUCUAUUUCUUAAAUUUAAUUCUUUUAUAUUAAGAUCUGUUUGAGACAUUAAAAAUUGGUUUAAUUUACCAAAAUAAUAAUAAUGAGGCCCAUGGUUUUGGAAUCUUUUCUAUGUCACAGCUAUGGCGAUGGGGUCAAGACACAACUGUCCUUUUUUGAGGUCAAAUAAAUUGAUUAAAAAUAUCCACCAAAAUGAUAAGAAUGUACAUAAUUCAUCUUAUUUUUAAACUGAUAUUCCUAAGUAUAUUAUAUAUUUUUAAUACUGAUAUUUCUUAAUAAAUUUGUUUCUAAAUUAAAUAUUUUUUUUCAAAAUCAUCUUAAAGUUUUUGAAACUUAUGUUUGUUUAAAUAUUAAAAUAAUUUUUAAUACACUGCUUGUGGAAAAAGUUUGACAAAAUAUAAUAAAAUAUCAAAAAAAAGACGCAUACCAAUACACAAAAUAUAUUAUCUAUUUUAUAACAUAUUAUUUAAAAUAAAUAUUUUAUUUUCUAAAAGUAAUUUUUUACCGCAAUACCAAAAAUAUAAAUUUUAGAGUAAAAUUUCUGAAAGCGAAGCUGGUCAACUUGCCUUGAAACAGAUGGCGAAAAUGAGUCCAAAUUAUAUCGGAGCGAGAAACAGGGAGUGGGAUUCAAGAUUUUGACGUACUGUAUAGGCGGCCACCGAUUUAUAUCCCUCGUCAUAUAUAGAUAUAUUAAUCAUUUUUUAAAAUUUUCGAUAUUUAUAUUCAAUAUAAAUCUACCCUUGACGGAUUAAUUAGUUUAGUGUAAGCUUGGUUUAAAUCAGUUGAGGUUGCAAAUAAGGAUAGUCAGUUUGCAACUCUCCUAAUAUUUUCAUCAUUUAAAGAAAGAAACAAAAGCAUGGAUCCAAGCUUGAGAGAAGUAGCUGGAACAGGAGAUACUGAUGCCUUGUACGCUCUAAUUCGAAAGGAUCCGUACAUGUUGGAGCAUAUUGAUCAGAUUCCUUUCAUCGAUACUCCACUUCACAUAGCAGCAAAUGAAGGUCAAAUUAAGUUUGCAAUGGAGAUGAUCAACUUGAAGCCUUCGUUUGGUCGGAAGCUAAACCAAGACGGGUUUAGCCUGUUAGAAAUCAAACCCACUCCAAGCAUAAUCUAGAAGCAUGAGACGUGGAGCAAUUUUGUGCUAUGCAAAGUGCUGAAAUUUUAGCCAUACAAAGUGCUCCAUUAUUGAGAUGUUUUGUGGCUGGAAAUUAAGUGGAUUAAUAGCCACAUUUGUUGUCACUUUAUCAGCCUAUAAAUAGAGGCUUGAACUUGUGUUGUAAUGAAGAAAAAUGAGAAGAAAAAAGAAAUAAGAGAAGCAACGUGAGUGAGAGUGAGAAGGUUAGCAAACCUUGAGUGAGUUAAAAUCUAGCAGCAGCUAGACUAUCUAGUCAUUGAGAAAAUAUUUGUAAUCUUCGUAUUGUAAUAUAUUGAGUGUGUAAUAAAAAGUAAAUUUUCGGCCCAUCACGUUUCCAACAAGUGGCAUCAGAGCUACGGUUCGGAGCUUGGUUCGGAGUUCGGUUCGUGUCCGGUUCGUGUCCAGUUCGGAGUACCUUUGGUGUUCAUCUAACAAGUCGAUAUGGGCGACGUAAUUCAGCUACAAGUUCCACAAUUGACGAAGACAAAUUAUGGAAAUUGGAGCAUUCGAAUGAAGGCUUUGCUCGGUUCGCAAGAUUGUUGGGAGAUCGUUGAAAAAGGAUACAUCGAGCCCGGAGAUGCCGCUACAGAAGCAGCUUUAUCAAAUGACGCUAAGAAGGCGUUACGAGAAGCACGAAAGAAGGAUCAAAAGGCCUUGAAUAGUAUCUUUCAAGGAAUGGAUGAAUCAACCUUCGAGAAAAUAUCAGAUGUGAAGAACGCGAAGAAUGCAUGGGAGAUUUUGCAAAAAUCAUUUCAAGGUGUAGAAAAAGCUAAAAAGGUACGCCUUCAGUCACUUAGAGCUGAAUUUGAAAUGUUAAAAAUGAAGAGCUCCGAGAAUAUCGAUGACUAUGCCAAUCGUGUAAAAUCGGUGGUAAAUGAAAUGAAACGAAAUGGAGAAACUCUUGACGAGGUAAGAGUGAUGGAGAAAAUUCUACGGUCACUCACACGCAAAUUCGAGUACGUAGUCGUUGCCAUCGAAGAAUCAAAAGAUUUGUCAAAGAUGUCGCUCGAAGAACUUGUGGGUUCUCUGCAAGCCCAUGAGCAAAAGAUGAAGCUAAAUGAAGAUAGUGAAAAUCUUGAUCAAGCCUUGCAUAGCAAGUUGUCCGUCGACGACGGAGAAACAAGUAAUAACUUUAACCAAGGAAGAGGAAACCGCAGAGGAUACCGUGGAGGCUACCGUGGUGGAAACAGAGGAGGAAGAGGAUCACGAGGACAUGGAAAUCAAUCAUAUGGGAGAUAUCAAGAAAAUAAAGAUUAUCAAACAUCCAACCGUGGACGUGGAUCUAGAGGUCGUGGCCGAGGCAGAUUUCAAGAAAAUAAAUCUCAGGUACAAUGCUACAACUGUAACAAGUAUGGACAUUUCAGUUACGAGUGCAGAUCAACACACAAAGUGGAUGAAAGAAACCAUGUAGCAGUCGCAGCAGAAGGCAACGAAAAAGUGGAAUCAAGUGUCUUUCUCACUUACGGAGAAAAUGAAGAUCGCAAGAGAAGUGUGUGGUAUCUCGACAACGGUGCAAGCAACCACAUGUGUGGAAGAAAGGAGCUGUUCACAGAAUUAGAUGAAACAGUUCAUGGACAAAUAACUUUUGGAGACAACUCACAUGCAGAAAUCAAAGGAAAGGGCAAGGUUGUUAUAACACAAAGGAAUGGAGAGAAGAAGUACAUCUCAGACGUUUACUACGUACCAGCUUUGAAGAGCAACCUGAUCAGUCUUGGUCAACUCCUAGAAAAAGGAUAUGAAGUUCAUAUGAAAGACCGCUCACUCGCCAUCAGGAACAAAAGUGGAGAAUUAGUUGUUCGAGUUGAUAUGACGCGAAAUCGUCUUUUCACCCUCGACAUCGAGUCUGGAGAAGUAAAAUGCAUGAAGACGGAUCUGAAGAAUGAAUCAUGGUUGUGGCACUUAAGGUACGGACAUCUCGGAUUUUCUGGCUUGAAGCUGUUGUCGAAGACAAAUAUGGUGAAUGGAUUACCAAGUAUUAAUCAUCCAGAUCAACUGUGUGAAGCCUGUGUCAAAGGAAAGCAGCAUAGGCAGAAAUUUGAAGUAGGAAAAUCUCGAAGAGCUAGAAGACCAUUGGAAAUUGUACACACCGACAUAUCUGGUCCGUACGACAUUGAAUCACUCGGUGGAAACAGGUACUACCUAACUUUUAUUGAUGAUUAUAGCAGAAAAUGUUGGGUUUAUUUUCUCAAAGCAAAAUCGGAAGCCCUAGAAAAAUUCAAGGAGUUCAAAGCAAUGGUGGAAAAACAGAGUGGUCGAUAUUUGAAGAUACUCAGAUCCGAUAGAGGAGGCGAGUAUACUGCAAAGCUUUAUGAAAGUUUCUGCAAGGAUCAUAGAAUCAUUCAUUAGUUAACAGUCAGACGCACUCCACAACAAAACGGAGUUGCAGAAAGGAAGAAUCGGACAAUUCUGGAUAUGCCAAGAAGCAUGAUAAAAGGUAAACACCUUCCGAGAACUUUCUGGGCUGAAGCCGUUGAAUGCGCAGUUUAUCUGUUGAAUCAAUGUCCAACAAAAAGUGUAAGACACAAGACACCAGAAGAAGCAUGGAGCGGUCACAAGCCAAGAGUUGGACACCUCAAAAUUUUUGGAUGCAUUGCAUAUGCACACGUUCCUGAGCAACAGAGGAAAAAGCUUGACGAUAGAGGAGAGAAGUGUAUCUUUAUAGGCUAUGACAAAAGAAGUAAGGCCUACAGACUUUAUAAUCCUCUUACUAAGAAAUUGAUUAUCUCAAGAGAUGUCGAGUUCGAUGAAGCGGAUUACUGGAGAUGGAGUGAAGAAGAAAAGAAAGUGGAAGGAUUAUUUUUCAACGAAGACGACAAUAACCAAGAAGAACAAGGCGAUGAUCAAAGUCCUGGUACAACAGCCCCUUCGUCACCAACCAGCAGCAGCGGAAGCAGCAGCUCAGAUGAAGCACCCACAAGAACACGGAGUCUCAACGACAUCUACAAUUCUAUGGAACCUGUAGAGACGCAGUUCGAUUAUUCACUAUUCUGUCUAAUGACAGAAUGUGAUCCAGUGACGUACGAAGAAGCAAUUGAAAACAAUAAAUGGAAGAAGGCCAUGGACGAGGAGAUUGCUGCAAUAAGAAGGAAUGACACGUGGGAGCUAACAAGUCUGCCAGAAGGACAUAGCCCGAUUGGUGUCAAGUGGGUGUACAAGACGAAGACCAACAAAGAAGGAAAAGUAGAGAAAUACAAGGCAAGAGUAGUCGCCAAAGGCUACAAGCAAAGACAAGGAGUGGACUAUGAUGAAAUAUUUGCUCCAGUCGCAAGAAUAGACACAAUUAGGCUUCUCAUAGCGGUCGCAGCACAAUACAAAUGGAAAAUCUAUCAGAUGGACGUCAAGUCUGCAUUCCUGAAUGGCUACUUGGAGGAGGAAGUCUACAUAGAACAACCACCUGGAUAUAGCAUACAAGGAAAGGAGGACAAAGUCUACCGAUUGAAGAAAGCUUUGUAUGGAUUGAAGCAAGCCCCAAGAGCAUGGAACACAAGGAUCGACGAGUACUUCCGAAGAAAUGGAUUCAUCAAAAGCCCGCACGAGCACACCCUGUACACAAAGAAGAAUGGAUAUGGAGAUAUCAUGAUCGUAUGCCUAUAUGUGGAUGACAUGAUCUUCACCGGAAACAAUCCAGGUAUGUCUGAUGAUUUCAAGAAAGCUAUGACUAAAGAAUUUGAAAUGACAGAUAUCGGUGAGAUGUCAUACUUUCUUGGAGUCGAGGUGAAACAAAUGCAAGAUGGAAUUUUUGUCUCUCAAAAGAAGUAUGCGGAGCAGAUUUUGAACAAGUUCAAAAUGAAGGAUUGCAAGCCAGUAGUCACGCCAGCUGAUCCAGGGAUGAAGCUAAGUGUUGAUUCGACAAGGGAGUCGAUAAAUCCGACGUUGUUUAAAAGUCUCGUUGGAAGUUUAAGGUAUUUGACAAUCACACGACCAGAUAUUACAUAUGCAGUAGGAUUGGUGAGCAGAUUCAUGGAGAAGCCAAAGCAAGACCACUUAAUUGCCGCAAAAAGAAUUUUGAGAUAUAUCAAAGGUACGAUGAACCAUGGUUUAUUCUAUACCCACUCACAAGAUUCAAAAUUAGUUGGCUACUCAGAUAGCGAUUAUGGGGGAGACUUGGAUGAUCGGAAAAGCACUUCCGGAUAUGCAUUCCACAUCAGUUCCGCAGUUUUUUCAUGGUCGUCAAAGAAGCAACAAACAAUUGCUCUCUCAACAUGUGAAGCAGAGUAUAUGGCCGCAGCAACUUGUACAUGCCAAGCAAUGUGGUUGAAGAAUAUUUUGGGAGAAAUAGGUGUUUCAAAUGAAGGUCCAAUUACCAUCUACGUUGACAACAAAUCCGCUAUAUCACUUGCCAAGAAUCCGGUGUCGCACAGCCGAAGCAAGCACAUCGAUACGAAGUAUCAUUUUAUCCGAGAGCAAGUGAAAAACAAAAACGUGGAGUUGGUCCAUUGCAGGACAGAAGAUCAACUGGCAGAUAUUUUCACAAAGCCGUUGAAAGUGGAGACAUUCAACAAAUUCAAAGAGAAGCUCAGUAUGAAAGUUGGGUUUGAGGGGGAGUGUUAGAAAUCAAACCCACUCCAAGCAUAAUCUAGAAGCAUGAGACGUGGAGCAAUUUUGUGCCAUGCAAAGUGCUGAAAUUUUAGCCAUACAAAGUGCUCCAUUAUUGAGAUGUUUUGUGGCUGGAAAUUAAGUGGAUUAAUAGCCACAUUUGUUGUCACUUUAUCAGCCUAUAAAUAGAGGCUUGAACUUGUGUUGUAAUGAAGAAAAAUGAGAAGAAAAAAGAAAUAAGAGAAGCAACGUGAGUGAGAGUGAGAAGGUUAGCAAACCUUGAGUGAGUUAAAAUCUAGCAGCAGCUAGACUAUCUAGUCAUUGAGAAAAUAUUUGUAAUCUUCGUAUUGUAAUAUAUUGAGUGUGUAAUAAAAAGUAAAUUUUCGGCCCAUCACGUUUCCAACAUAGCCCCAUGCACUUGGCCCUCCAAAUGGGGCAUACCAAGCUAGUGCUUCGACUGUUGAAGACCGAUAAAGACCUGGUUCGCGUCAAAGGAAGGGAAGGGAUGACCCCUUUCCAUUGUGCAGCUGCAGUGGGGAACUCUAAAUCUUUUAUUCCACUUCCUUGAAACUUGCCCUGAAUGCGUUGAGGAUGUCACGGUUCGUAACGAGACUGCAUUACAUCUUGCUCUGAAAAACGACCACACCGACGCUUUUAAUCUCUUACAUGGAUGGCUUCGAAAAAACCGUCGUGGAGGAGGCAAUGGUUUGGAAAGAAAGGUUGUGAAUUGGAGAGAUGAUGAUGAUAACACUGUGUUGCACAUUGCAGCUACAAAGCAACAACAUCAGGUAUAUAUGCAAUAUAAUGAUAAGUUGCGUUCCUUUGAUCAUUUUAUUAAUGAUUAUUUAUAAUAUUCUACGCAGGCAGUACAACUGUUGUUGGAUUCCUUUUAUGGGUUAGAUGCAAACGCUAAGAAUUCGGAAGGCUUGACAGCUCGAGAAAUCAUAGAAAGGGUUGAAAGACAAGGGUUGAACAUGAGUGGCGCCGAAGACGAUGAUACCACCACCGCCAAGAUUGAGCGCAUUAAGAAAAGAACUAGUAGGUCUGAAAGAGCAUUAGUAAAGUUGAUUCGGGCAAGGAAUGGGUUGUCAGAGAACAUGCUCAACGCAACACUGGUGGUAGCGGCGCUGGUCAUAACAGCAAUCUACCAGUCAUCUUUAAGUCCACCAAGAGGUCUUUGGCAAGGUGAUAACACUAGUAUCCCCACCACCACCUCAAACCUUACUACUACUACUAAAUUUAAACUCUUUAACGACAAUUACAGUGAGUAUCGUUUUAAAUUUCUGUUGGGUGAAGAAACAAGGAAAACUGGUACUGCAGUCAUGAAUCCCAACUUGUUUUUAGGGUUUUGGUUUUUCAAUUUUAUAGCAUUUGGGCUUCCAGUUCUUCUAACCGUUUUGCUUUUAUCCAAUGUACCUAGUAUUCUUCUCAUCCCGCUUUAUUAUCUAUCCGUCUCCUACUUUAACUGCAUGACAAUAGUAUCUCCUUCCACGUUUUGGGCAAACCUCAACUUUGUUGUCAUGUGGACAGCCAUUCUUCUCCCGUUGCUCUUAGUUGUUAGAAGCGUAUGGUUAUCGAAGCAGCCAAAGUACAGGGAAAUCAGACAAUUACGCAGACUUUUCCGCAAGUAGAAUAAUGUUGGAAUCAUUCAACGGUUGCGAAUGUCAAUGUAGUUUAUAUGUUCUAUUAUGUUAUGUACUUUUUUCCAUUUUCUCUGGAUUAAUAUCUUUUCUCUUCGGUAAAAAAAUUAUGAAAUUGCUUUGGAUAAAUCUAAUAAAUAAGAUUAGUUUUCCCAACAGAUCAUAUCUUUGUCCGUUGCAACCAAAGAAAAAAAAACAAAGAAAAACCAACCAUCCUAUUUUCUAAUUUAAAAAAUUAUUUUCCUUUUUGUGAAAAGAGAUGUUUUCGAAGUAUUGUUGAUUCAAAAGUAACAAAUUUUUCAACAAGUCGAUAUUUUUCUCUAAAUAUUUUCUAAAAAAAUGACAAAUUCAUAAACAACAGCUAUAUUCAUUGUAUUCAAAUGAAUCUUAAUAAAACCCUGUUCAUCAUUGAUGUCUAAAAGGAUUUUUUAUCCCAUUUCAAGCUAAAAGCAACUAUUUUUUUAAAAGCCAAAUUAGCUUUUCAAAACCAUCUUUUUUAAGUCAAAUCAAAAACUUCAAAUUUCGUUUUUACUUUUCUAAAGCUAGUUUUGAGUGUCUAAAUACAAUUUUAUCUCUCAUUUAUAUUAACUAUAUAAGCUAAAUAUAAUUUAAAUUAAAUUUUACAAAUAAUUUAUAUUAAUUACUUAAAAAUAACUCAAAUUAAUAUUUCGUAGAUUAUAAUAUUAACAAUGAGUAAUAAUAAAUAAAUUUAUUAUAUUUAUAAUAUAAUCUAAGUUGAAUAUUGUUGAUACCAAAAUAAUAAUAAUAAUAAUUUACAUUUGUGGUUGAUGAUAACCUUUCUAAAUUUCGUUUAAUAUAUGAUUUAUGCAAAUAAGAUUGGCAACUUAAGUUUCGACACGUCCCGCAAAAGUAUAAUAGACCGGCAAAUUGCAUUGUCAAAGUUGUUCCUAAUGAUUUAAAUAGGCCACAUGAUCAUGCUUGAUUUUUGUUUGAAAAAGAUGCUCAUCGAGCAAUGGUUAAUGUAGGCUCCCGUCAAUAGCUAGUUCCUUAAACUUGUGUAUUUUCUACAAAAAAGAUAUAUUUUACAUUUGUGUCAAUUCCAAUGGCUAUGCUUGGCUCGUAACGUAUUUUGAGCCUUGUCUUUUAUGGUUCUACAAAUGGGUGUUAAAUCCAUCAAAAACAAUAUUCAUAAGCCUGAACAAUAAAUAAAUAACAGCACAAAUAGUAGAGUCAAUCCCAUAGAAAAUAACUAUCGAGAUUGGUUAAGAUUGUUUUUUCAUCUUAUUAGACCCAUCACUUUGCAUCAUUCUUUUACUUAAGGUCGAGCAAUUAAGACAUACUUCAUAACUAAUUUUUUCCUAAUUUAUUCAUAACUAACUAAUUUUCAAGUAAGUGAUAGUUAGUGGUUCAUGUCAUUUUGCAACUCUCCUAAUUUAUUCAUCACUUGCAUUAUUUAAAAGAGUGCUAUAUAAUCAUUUUGCAACUCUCCUAAUGUAUAUAUAUACGGUGAUAAGUUGCGUAUAUCCCUUUGAUAAUUUAUUAAUGGCUGUUUCUACGCAGGCAAUGGAACUGUCGUUAGAUUCCUUUUGGUCGUUAGAUGUAAAAGCUAACAACUCGGAAGGUUUGACAGCUGGAGAAACCAUUGCAAAAGGUUAAAAGACAAGGCUUGAACGUGAGUGGCGAAGAGGAUGAUACCACUGCCAAGAUUAAUCGCAUCAAGAAAAAAACUAGUUGGAUUGAAAGAGUAUGUAGUAUGUACAACGAGGAUUCGUGCAAGGAAUGAAUUAUCGGAGAACAUGAUCAAUGCAACCCCGGUGGUUACGACGCUGGUUAUAACAGCAAUCUACCAAUCAUGUUUAAGUCCACCGGCAGGUGCUCGGCAAGAUGAAGGUGAUCACAGUAUCUCCAUCUCAAACACUACUCUUCCCCUCGCUGUCAACAAACACGAUGAAUCCUUUUUGGGUCUAGGAUCAAGACAAAUUGGUACAACAAUAAUGAAUCCUCUAUGGUAUUUAUUGUUUUGGUUUAUUAAUAUUUUAGCAUUUGAGCUUCCUGUUCUUAUAACAGUUUUGGUGCUCACUAAUGUUCCUUUUGUACUUCUCCCGCUUUCUUAUCUAAGCGUGUCUUAGUAUUACUCGAUGGCAACAAUAUCACCCAUGAUGAUGUGGGCAAUAGUCAACACCAUUCUCACGAUAAUAGUUUCUUGGCUCCCGACUUUCGUUUAUUUUAAAGUCAUACAAUCAUAUAUGUCCCAAAAUUCCAAGUAGUUCAAACACUUACGUAGAGUUUUUCGUAGUGACAGCAAUGUCGGAGUCAUUCAACGCUUGAAAAGGACAAUCUAGUUUAUAUUGUACUAUACUUUAUGUACUUAUAUAUAUACACAUAUGUAUAAAAAAAUAUGAAAUAUGCAUUUAUAUAUAUACACAUGUAUAUAAAAAAAUUAAGAAAUAAAAAAAUGUAAAGUAUGUAUAUAAAAAAAUUGAAAUAUGCAUUUAUAUAUAUACACAUAUGUAUAGAAAAAUAUGAAAUAUAUAAAAAUAUAUGAAUGUGUGCGAGUAAUAUACAUAAAAGUAUAAACGUAUAUAUACUUAUCAUAAAAUAGGUAUGCGUAUAUAAACAUAUUUUGAAACUAUAAGAUAUGUAAAACACAUUUAAUGUCAAACGUACACACAUAUGUGUAAUGAGAUAUAUGUAUAUGUAUUUACAAAAUAAAAAAAAUAUAUAAGUAUAAUAUAUAUAAGUAAAUUAUGAAAAUAUAUGUAUGUAUAUAUUAAAAUAUGUAUAUAUAAGUAUAAUAUGUAUAUAAAAAAAUGACAUAUGCAAAAAAACAAAUAUAUAUUUAUAAUAAUUUAAAAUAAUAAUAAAAAUGUAUGUAUAUACGUAUUAUAAGAAUGUAUGCAUGUAUUUAGGAUUAUAAAAUAUGAAAAUAUAUGCGCAUAUGUAUAUGUAUUAUAAAAUGUACAUAUAUAUUUUAAAAUUAUAAAACACAAAACAAACAAAAACAAAUGUAUGUACGUAUAUGAAAUAUAAAAUGUAUAUGCAUAUAUUAUAAGAAGUAUGCACAAAUACAUGGUUAUAAUAAUAAUAAUAAUAAUAAUAAUAAUAAUGAUGCAAUAUAACAGUAUUAAUAAUAUAUUAAAAUACUUAAAAAACCCAAAAAGACAGAUUAAGGAUUAAAUUGAAAAUAAACGGAGUUUGGGGGCCGAAUUAAAAAAUGGAAAACACAAAAAGGGACCAAAUCAUAAAGCGCGAAACAGGAAGAAGACCCAAAGGGAAAUAUCCCCAAGCUAAUCCAACGGCGUCGUUCUAGUGAGACCUAUGCGCAUGGUCUAUGGACCAAAUUGAAACAAGAGAGAAAUUUUGUGGCCAAAAUUGAAAAUAUGUGAAAAAAACUUCAUUGAAGAUGGCACAAAAGAAAGGGGACCGAUUGCGAAAAUAUCUCCACCAGCGAAAACACGCGGGUCACCUAGGCCUGUCGGGUCACACACGCGGGUAUAGGCCUAUACGGCGCCGUUUUGGGGCCACUGAAACAGGCCUAAACGACGCCGUUUCAUGCCCUUAUAUAAAAAUCAAAAAUUUUCUAAAGGAUUCAUUUUUUUCCCUUCUUUUACAGAAAACAGAUGAACCCUCUGCUAGGAUUCUCAUUUCCCUUUGCCGCCGCCGCCAAGAGGACCGUCCCACAGCUUCCGUUGCCGCCCCAGUCUCUGAUUGCGACGAAGAGGGGAAAGAUUCAACAAUACUAGGUAAAUUUUUCACCUCUUAAUCUUUUCUUUUUCCUUUUUUACACACGAUGAAUAAACAAAAAGAUUCAAAAAUAGAAACAAACAAUCGUUGCAAAAAAUCACCUCCAGUAUACUGUUUUUUUAUUUUCUUCUAUUUUUUCUGUAUCAAUCCGUUUUUCUCUUUUCAAUCCCCCCAUUUACGAAAAAAAAACCCCUUUUAUCACUUUUUUAUCUUUCUGUUAUGCUAACGUGCUCGCGGUUUGUGGUUUGUUGCUGGAAGAUCGUGCAUGGUGGGCGACGUGCUGCGAUGUUGGGACGUGGGUGAGGUUGCUGCGGCUGCUGGUUUUGCUGCUAGCUGCUAGGGUUUCUAAAACUUUAGGCUAAUUGGGCCUAGUAAUUGGAUUAGGAUUGGCCCAAAUUUUAUUGGAUUUGUAAUUGUAUUUAGUUUUAGUAUUUGAUUUGGGCCCUGGGCAAUAAUUGGGUAUUACACCCUUGACGGAUUAGUUUAGUGUAAGCUUGGUUUAAAUCAGUUGAGGUUUCAAAUAAGGAUAGUCAGUUUGCAACUCUCCUAAUUUCUUCAUCAUUUAAAGAAAGAAACAAAAGCAUGGAUCCAAGCUUGCGAGAAGUAGCUGGAACAGGAGAUACUGAUGCCUUGUACGCUCUAAUUCGAAAGGAUCCGUACAUGUUGGAGCAUAUUGAUCAGAUUCCUUUCAUCGAUACUCCACUUCACAUAGCAGCAAAUGAAGGCCAAAUUAAGUUUGCAAUGGAGAUGAUCAACUUGAAGCCUUCGUUUGGUCGGAAGCUAAACCAAGACGGGUUUAGCCCCAUGCACUUGGCCCUCAAAAUGGGGCAUACCAAGCUAGUGCUUCGACUGUUGAAGACCGAUAAAGACCUGGUUCGCGUCAAAGGAAGGGAAGGGAUGACUCCUUUCCAUUGGGCAGCUGCAGUGGGGAACCCUAAUCUUUUAUUCCAC
rnacentral:lncRNA from 1 species